rnacentral:lncRNA from 1 species
UUAUAGGGAGCGAUACUCCAGUAUAUUAUUACAAGGAGCAUGUGUUUGAGGCACAUUUCAUGUGAAUUCCAUAACAACCUCAUAGUUCUGAAAAAAGAAGAAGCAUAACAACCUCAUGCCUUCGGGUUAGCGGGCUAGCGUGUCUGAACUAUGUAUGUAAACCAACGAACUGAACAUCAUCAGAGUUGAGUAAUUUUUCCAUUUUAUACAUAGAUCCUGCAAACGCCGGAUGCCAACCACAGGGUAUUGGAUCUGAGUAUGUACCUUUAUCUAUAAGCUAUGAGUAUUCAGCAGAAAAACUCUGUUCUGGAUCAAUUUCUUGAACAGAACGUCAACUCCGCUCCCCGGAUUAACAAUGUCCGACUCAAGUGCCCGCAAUUGCUACUCUUCAGCUAUGGAAUGCGUUGAGAAAAACGAACACCCGCCAAUCUUUCGGACGACAAGUUGCUUUGACAAGAGCCACUGUGUAGAAUUGAAGCAACAAGACUGUAAUUUUCUUCGCUGUUGCAAGUAGCCUGAUCACCCUUCGGUCCUCAGUAACAGGUGUAACCGUCUUCCCGAUCUACCUGAACUGUUUUUGUGCUUUCUUUACUAAUUGGGUGUACCGUGUAUGACUGAAUAUUGACCUCAAAGCUUCAGUGUCUCCUCUUUUCAGAACCAAGCGCAGUUCUUGGACGGUGUCUACCCCAGUACGCACAUUUUGCUACCCUCAUAUAUAGUGCAGAAGUAGAAGCACUUACACACCUUGCUACCUACAGACAACUGGAAUCCUGUUAGUCUAUGUCCUGAGAGUUUGUCACCCAUCUUCAAGGCAAGUUUAUGCUGCUCUGCUGUUAUCUUAUCGUUUCAUACAUCUAUGAAUGGGUAUAUGGGCCUGUCGAACGCGUCUUGAUCAUUGGAGACAAACUCACACACAAGGAACAAUUUUCGUGUUGGAUCCAGAUAGCUUGAUCAUGCAUGCGUGUGCAUCAGCGUUACAUGAUGACUGUCCUCUCCUUGCUUUGCCGCUGGCAUAUGCUACAGCGUGUUUCAUUGUUAGUGGCAAACCCAUCUGCACCCCCAGGGUGGUUGGUGGUGUAAGGAGUCAUUGACUUCAUCAGCAUGUUGUUCCAGGCUGUGCUAUCUGGUUCUGCUAACAUCCUUUGUGGCGCUCCUAUACAAUGUAAGAAGGGGUAAGAAAGAGAUCAAAAUAUAUUACCGAAGUGUAUCUACCAUGCUUUGAUGAUGCAAAAUAUUUCCCUUUUACAAGAGAUAUUUUUGGUGUUAACAUUAAGACAUGCCAUCUCAGAAAUCUAUAAUGCUCAAUCCAGUAUUUAUCUCCUAGUAUUAAAUACAAAAUAAAAUUAUGUUGAAGAUACCAUCAUACUCAUUUUUUUCAUUUGCGAAUAUGGAUUAUUGUUUGUUACUAAGAACAUUUAGAUUUGAUUUUUCCACUUGAUCUACCCAUCAUCAAUAGUUUUAUGAUUUUAUCAGAAAUGCAAGCUUUAUCAUCUGAAUAAAUGUGUAGAUAUAUACCUAAAUAUUAAUUGAGCAUAUGAAGCCAGCAUUUGCAACUAUGAAGUGAAUCUGGCUAGUUGAUUUAUGUGCAAGUACAACCAUCAACCAUGUGGCUUCCACCUGGCGUGUCCCAUGCAUGAUAAGUGAGAUCCACAAAAUAAGGCUAAUCAUGAAUCUUAUGGUAGGUCUAAUGCAACCAAUAACCUACUAGUUUUAUGGUAGGUCUAAUAUCAUUGUUGUUAUCAUUUACCACAAAAUUGUAACUUGUAACCAAAACCCAAUUAACAGAACCUAACAGAUACAUGAUGGAUUAACAUCAUACACAUUGCUACUCCCUCCGUUCCAAAAUAGAUGACUCAAUUUUGUACUAACUUUAGGGAGUAUUUGUCAUGCAUAUAUUCAUCACAAAGCCCCAAGAGAUUAUUAUCAGUAUCGCAAAAUCUGAUAUGGAUCAAAACUUUAGUCUUUGUUUCUAUAAUUUCUGUAUGUAUACUAUACACAUGGGAAAACUGUAUCAAGAUCGGCUCAUCCUCAAAAAGGCGGAUGCCAAUCGCCGGGAGUAGAGUGAUGUGGAGUAUUUAUGAGCUAAGCAUGUUUAAAAGAGAAACUCUGUUCUGGACUAAUUUCCAGAACAGAAUUCCUGCUCCAUUCUAAAGAUCUCCAAUGCUGCACUCUAACUCCUUCAAUUGCUCCUCGCAAACAACGGCCUUCUUCUUGUAAAAUGCCUUGCAGACAAGAGACUGCUUCGGCAUUUCAAUUUGCUUCGACAAGAGAUGGAGUGUGGACUCCAGCAGAGAGAUGCAGAUCUCUCUUGCGUUGGUCAAUAGCAUGACCAUCUUGUUGGAUGCAGCCUUCUUGGCAGUCUUCUUGAAAUGUUUCCUGGCCUUCUUCGCCAAGCGAGCAAAAGACUGGAUCUUGGCUUGAGCAGCUGCAUCAUCUCCUUUUCUUAGAGCCACUUGCAGCUCUUGGAUGAUGACCACCAUCUCGGCGAAGAUCUCUUGCAUGGCGCUGCAGAGAUCUAGUAGCUCGAGAGAAACUUCCAUUUCUCCAUCCAACAUGUUCCUCUGCUGGGAGGAGAAAACUUGGUGGCUUGGUAGGCAAAUAAUCUCUUCAAGACCAUCGUAGAUGUUUGCAAGACUCCUGAGACCAUCGCACAUCGUGCUGAUGGAAUUGGAGGAAGAGAUGCUUGCUUCUAGGCCGUGGAGCUCUUGCUCGACUUGGGUCUCACUGACGUGAGGCCUAGAAGGCAAACUUAUCGAUCUUUCGUGGAAAGACAUAUCUGAGCUUGAAGCUUUUCUCUAUAUAUAUUGUGGUUGAUGAAGAGUUGAAGAAAAGAACACUUCUUGGUUUGAUGUCUCUACUGCUCUGCUGAGGCCUAUUUAUACAGAAAUGAACAAGCAGCAGCAUUUGAUUGGUAGACAUGAAGAAUCAUGCAAUUACAUCUCCGAGAUGCUGUCUGCUAUGCCUUGAGAUUUUUUAAGCACAAGCAUAGAGAUUGGAACCCUAAAGUCGUCUCAUGUUUAGUACAUUGAUUUAUGUGUCCACUGUCCCUAAGAUAGGCCAUCACAUUAUUAUGUUCCAGCAAUUGGCAACAAGAACCAGCAGUCCAGUUUAGUCUGAUGGUGGAUCUUGGCAUAAUUGCUUACCAAAGCCAUUAUUUAAUGGAUUGCUAACCUAGCAUUUUUUGCUGCGGAGUGCCUGUAUUUAAUCAGGUGUUUGCUUUGGUGGGCACCCUUGCGAAUAACAAGUUAAAGCUUCGAUGAUCGGAGCUGGCAUGUUUAGGCCAUGGAAACAAGAUCCAUGUUAGUGGUUCAGCGUGUUACCCACAAUUUCAUAUCUGGCAAGAAACGAGUUUUUGUUGUGUGCUUGUGUGCCGUGUCCACCCUAUUUUUUCUGAUGUUUUCGUACAACCUUAUUUUUGGUGAAGUUUGGAAUAAACAUAUAAAGCAUUGGUUGUUCUUUGUGUUCUAGGAAUUAAUAUACGGAAAAGAACAAAGAAUUUGCACACUGGCAAGUUUGGAUUAGGUCUUGCUCAGAUUAUUGUUAAUUCUGUAGAGUAAAUGUUUUUUGUUAUUAUUUUGCCUUACAUGCUUAGAUGAUAUAGAUGUCGACAAUGUUAAAAUUUGAGCACAAAUUUGGACUUUGUUGUAUGAAACCAGAAAUAUAAUUAAUUGUAGUGCCAGACUGCACAACCAUGUGGUGGUGGCACUGGAGAAUCUGAAUAAUAAAACUGAUUGAUUCUGCAAACUAAUACAAGUAGGGACCGUGUGACUUUGAUCUGGCUUGUUUCAUGCAUAAGGGACAAGAUCCACUAACCAAGGUUAUCAAAAUUAAGUAUACUGGGAUCACAAGCACAUCUUCAAGUAUGAAAUGGUCAAAUGGAUCAAAACUUUUGUUUCUCUUGCUAUAGUAUCAUGUGCAUUUCUAUUGUAUAGUGUAUAUAUACAUAGGGGAAAAUUGUAUGAAGAUCAGCUAUUCCUUAAAAGGCGGAUGCCAAUCGAAGGGUGUCAAGAGUGUCCUGGAAGUAUCUAUGAGCUAAGGAUGUUGAGUAGAGAAACUCUGCUCUGGACAAAUUUCCUGAACAGAUGUCCUGCUCCGCUCUCAAGAUCUCCGAUACUGCACUCUAACCCCAACAAUUGCUCCUCCUUGCAAACAACUGACUUCUUUUUGUGAAAUGCCUUGGAAACAAGAGACUGUUUAGGCAUUUUAAUUUGCUUCGACAAGAGAUGGAGUGUGGACUCCAGCAGAGAGACAGAGAUCUCUCUGGCCUUGGCCAAGAGCAUGACCGUCCCGCAAUCUGCCGAAAUCUACUUCGUGGUCUUCUUGAAAUGAUUCUUGGCCUUCUUCGCCAAGUGGGUGUAAGAUUGGAUACUGGCUUGAGCAGCCGCAUCAUCCCCUUUCCUUAGAGACAGUUGCAGCUCUUGGAUGAUGGCCUUCAUCUCGGCGAAGAUCUCUUGCAUGGUGCCACAUAGAUCUAGCAGCUCGAGAGAACCGUCCAUUUCUUCAUCCAACACCGUCCUCUGCUGGUAGGCACAGACUUGGCUGCUUGGAAGGCAGAUGAUCUCUUCGACGCCAUUAUAGAUGUCUCCAAGCCUCCUCAGACCCUCGCACAUCAUGCCGAUGGUCGUGGAGGAACAGAUGCUUGCCUCUAGGCUCAACAUCUGUUCUUCAAUCUCGGUCUCGGUGGGGUGAGGCCUAGAAGGCAAACUUAUCGAUAUUAGGUGGAAAGCCAUGUCUGAUCUUGAAGCUUUUCUCUAUUUUGUGGUCGAGGAGAGGAGCAGAAAAGAAGAGCUUAUAGCUUGAUGUUUCUACCAUUCUGCUGACGCCUAUUUAUACAGAAGGUAUGUUUACAGCUGUAUUGUAGCAUCUGAGUGGUAGAUCUCCCAGAUGCUGUCUGCUGUGCCUUGAGAUCUGCCAGAAGCAUAGAGAUCAAAACACUAAAGUCGUCUCAUGUCUGCUACAUUUUUUUAUUGUGUCUGGUGUCCUCGAGAAGAACCAUCACAUUGUCAUGUUCCACUUAUUGGCAGCAAUGACAAAUUAAGAGGGGCAUAGUUUGGUGGUGGAUCUUGACAUAAUUGCACGCUGAAGCUAUUAUCUAGUGGAAUGCUGCUGGCUACUGGCAUGUUCUUCAUUUAAUCGGCUAUUUUUUCUUUUGAUGGAUACUCGUGAUAACACGGCCGGUGCCUCAUAAUUUGGAGCUGGCAUUUUCAUGUAUCGGAAAACAAGAUCCAAUGCGCCUUUUAUUUUGUUCAACAUUGUGUCCCCAUCUUUUCAGUUAUAUCGUAUCAAAUAAUGACAUAAACGAGGUUUUGAAUUGUGCCCCUGCUCACAAAUCUCUUUUCAAUGUUUUUCAUGCGAUGCUAGGUUAGACUAAUUGAUUCUCAAACAUCAUUGUGGGUGAAGUUUGCCAUCCUAAUAGAUUGUUUUCCUUUUUCAGGUUAUUUCUGUUGCUAGCCAAAUUGUUCAGUUCUACGAUUGAGAGGUUGAAGCUUUCUGCCAGUAUACCAUGUCUCGUAAUAAUUUGUAAUGUUGGCACAAACAUAGUUACAUAAUAACUUGUUGAGCUCUGUAAUCGUUUUCUUUCCUGCCCGUUUGGGUGUGUGUACUGUGUCUCUUCUACCUUCUCAAUGGAAUGAAACACCAGGCUUUUGCGUUUUCUGAACCAAAAAAAAUGGUAGAAUAUGUUCCAUAUUUUGAAGUUAGUGUUUUACACAAUCGGGUCAUUAGUACUCCCUCCGUUCCGAUUUACUCGUCGUGGUUUUAGUUCAAAUUUGAACUAAAACCACGAUGAGUAAAUCUGAACGGAGGGAGUAUGAUGCAGUACAAUCUAGAACACACUUUAAAAUUCUUCACCAUGUAAAGAAAUGGAGUAAUCUCCAAUGGGUUAGCUUGGGAGGCCAAAUUUCUACAAUAUUACAUUGUUUUACAGUCUGUUUAAAGGAUGGUCAUUCCUUUCUUCUCUUCUCUUCUGUUUAAAGGAUGGUCAUAAGCACCUGAAAGAGGAUCAAUCGCCCCAACCCCCCGACACCCCGAGCCGCUCCCGCGAGCGUCCUCGGGGGAAACCCUAGCGCGCCGCCCCUCGUCCUCCCUCAUCGACCUCUCCCCCUGCCGCCACCGCACAGCGCCGCCGGGCAAAGUCCGGCCGGCAUUGGUGGCGGCGGGGAUCUUGCCCCUCUCCUCGCGGUUGGCAUCCGGCGCAAGACGGUGCUGGGCUGUGCGGGGCCCGGCGGCGCGGCGGCAGGCGUGCUGGGUGGCGGUGGUGCAGCGGCGGCUUGGGGCCCCUUCGACGCGCGGCGGUUGCGGAUUCUCUAGCGGUGACGCGCGCGCCGGCCCUGUCCAGAUCUGACAGAUUUGGCUCCGGUGGCCUGAUGCGCGGCGGGGGCAGCGUGCUGCUUGGGUCACGGGCGUCUUGCUCUGCCAUGGCCGCGUCUCGCGGAGCUGGAGGCGUGGCGGCGGAAAUGGUUGGUGCGUGUCCAGGCGGGCGGGUGGCCGCAGGCUCGCAUGCUCGACCCUGUGAUGGCGCGGGCCAUGGACGGCUUGGGCCACGUGCGGCCCCCCUGCAGUGGUAGGUGGUGGCGGUGGCACGGUGGUGGUGGUGGUUCGCGCUGGUGGUGGCGCUGGCGGCGGUGUGGGCUUCGUCCGGCGGCCGUUGGCGGCGAGGGUGGUGGCGCUGGCUCGGGGCUGCCCCUCAGGGUCCCGGCAUGGAUGUGGGCUGCCACGGCGUGGUGGUGGCCCAUCGUGGGUGGUCUGGGUUGUUUCACGGCAGCGGCUGGACUUCUUCGGCGUCUGCCUGUCGGUGAGCACCCUUGACGACCUUUGAUUCAUCUCCCCGUCGUUCGGGCGCUACCUUUAUCGGAGGGUUGGCCCUCUCCUAGUGGCGGCCCAUCGCUCGUCUCGUGCCCGGCAGCAGGACCGAGCUCGUCUCGCGCCCGGCAGCAGGACCGAGCUCAUCUCGCGCCCGGCAGCAGGAUCUGACUCGUCUCACGCUCGGCAGCAGGACCGAGAUCGUCUCGUGCCCGGCGGCAGGACAAGUCGAUGGUGGCCAGUUUUGGCCGACCUAUUGGGUCUUGUCACUGGGACAGCCCAGGGGUGCGAAAGGCGGUUCGUUUCCACUCGUCUCUUUGGUUGGGGUAGCGGCGGGUGGCGGGUGAGGUGGCAUUAAGGUCCUGGAUGCCGAGGCGGCGGCCCUGGUGGUGGUGUUGCGGUGAUCUUGGGCAAAGCCCGUGGCUUGGUGCUGCCUGGUGGCCAUGGCCGUGUGGGCGGCGUGGUAGCCAGGGUGUGAUGUUCGGUGGCGGUGAAUAUUGACCGCGGUGAAAACCUGUUCUAUCUUUGGACGGACCGGCGGCGGCGAAACUCGUUCCCUUCUUGAAGGCGUCGUCGCGGCUCUCACUGUCCGUCAUGUUGCUCCAGGGGAAACUCUGAUCUUUGGGUCAGGCGGUGGCGGUGCUUCGGUGUCGUAACCUUCCUGUAGGCACCGCCUUGGAGCCCACGGUUCGUCGUAUGUAGCUUUCUCUCUUUGCGAUGGCGUGUUCACGGUUGAGGCCCCCGGUUGCUCAUGUAGUGCUAGGGGUGGUGUUGCUGCGCUCAGGGCCUAUGUAUCAUGUCUUGGGUGUGUGCGUGUUCUGGUGGCGUGCGUUGCACCGGGUUGUUGAUGAUCUUUGCUUUAUAUAUAAAGCGGGCCGAAAGCCUUUUUGGGUAAAGGAUGGUCAUUACUCGGCUGAAAUGGCGGCAGUUAGAAGAUUGGAGUAUUUGUUACAUUAUGUGUCUGGCGAAUACUCCCAGCAAGAAAUUAGGGCAUUUGCAAUUGCAUAUUAACUGCAGUCUAGGGGUGCGCGAGAAAGUGAAUUAGUGAUGUAUAUGUAGCAUAUAUACUGACAGAAUGUAAAAUGAAACCAAAUAAAUGGAAGAUCUCAUAGUAGCGAAAUCAACAUGUUUCUUAGACAAAAAAAUCAUGCUAUUUCGUAAGUGGAAUCGUACUUUUGUUGCACUACAAGCACCCAGGAUUGUUUUUAGUCAUAAAGAGUGGGUGUGUAGUGUUGGGAGGCGAUGCCGGACCAAUCCCAACACGGAAGUAUCAAAACAACUUAUAUAAACUAAAAUCUCAAAUAUCCUUCACGUGCGCGCAUGGGGUGUGGCGGAGUAUUCUGAAAGGAGACAGAACUCAGAUUCGUACCUGGUCUCGUUCAUGGGUGGCCGACAGUCAAGUAGUCAUGCCAGUGCCAAUCUCCCUACUGAAGUUGGCAAGUUGCCGAGCUCAUGAACAGUGACUGAAACAUGGAGCGAUUCGCCAAACUUUUGCAGCAGAGGAUGUUCCAGUGGUCCUUAUCAUGCCGAUAUGUGAGCAGGGUGAAGAUUCGGUCCGGGGAACUACUUGGCACACAGAACUUGAGCGCAUAAUGUAUCCUGCACCUUGAUGAUUUGCCAGCCUUGUGACAUGAAGUUUCACCCUGUGACUGGAAGCGAAUCAGGAUGGGACCAAGUAUUGACAAGGUACAGCAGACACAAAAAUGAAGGGUUCAAGCAAAGUUGAUCCAGGAAUAGCAGUACGCUCUUUUAGGGAUUACCACAAAGCAAUAGCUAGGAGAAUCUCGGUGAGGUAGUACAUGGGUUUUGAAGGGAUUUUGUUUAUGAAUAAGUGAGCACAACUGCCCGCUAUGGCUGACCGUAUGCAUGUUUCAAAAACAACUGUUAUCAACAUCCAGUCUAGUACCUUCAGCAAAAGGAAAGUAUAGUGAUUAACAGUCGCUGAUAAGCUAUACAGGAAGAUCUUCCUAUUCGGUGUUCGUGGAAAGGAAUCAAUUGCCAUCAUUUGAAACCAAUCUCCUCAUAAAAAGAGGGUAAUGUUUCCACGUUGAAAGCAAUUCGACCAAGGCGUAACUAACAGUAACACGUGUAAAAAGCACACAUGACAAGCUCUAAAUCAUGCAUACAAAAAAAAUCCAAGUGAAUCUAGAUGCAUAUUUUUCUUUAACAAACGGAACAAUGAAUGAUGUCUAAGUUUCUUCCAUGUUAGGCAUCUCCAGCCGCGCCCCCAACAGGCCCUCCCCAGGCGAUUUUGCCGCGCCGGCAACAAAAAAAGGCCCCAGUCGCGCCCCCAGAAGACCGUUUUUCGCCGGCUCGGGCCAAAACUGGUGCCGGCGGACCCAGGCCGAAGCCGGCGCCCUGGGGGGCGCUUGGGGAGCCGGCGCAAGGGAAAAAGGCGCGUGGGCCCGCCCUGGAAGCGACCCGAGGGUCUUUUCCCGCCGUUUCUUGACACUUUUCCCUCGUAUCUCUCCCGCUCGCUCGCCUUCCUCCCGCCAUUCUAUCCCUUUCUCCCGCUCGCUCUCGCCUUCCUCCCGCCAAACCCCCUCCCGCUCGCCGCGAAGAAGCACGCCAUGCCGCCGAAGAAGUACGCCAUGCCGCGCGCGACGGCAACCGCGAGUGGCGUCGUGGCCCAGCCGAAGCCGAGGAAGCCGAGGGCGCCGCCAUCGAAGCCACUAGGCCUGUCGAACGCCGAGUGGAGGGUGGAAGUUCAGCGGCACGAAGCGGUCACCACUGACAGGCGGAACAGGGCCAUAGCCAAGAAGGCCCGCGACACCGCGGCACGCACGGCGGCGUCUUCCUCAUCGGUCGAACAGGCGGGGAUGAACCCACCCGUCGUCAGCCACGCCCAGUACGCGCCCUGGGGACAGCAAGGCGCCGGAUCUCCAUGGGGUUCAUCGUCGCCCGGCUGCUACGCCGACGGCGACGCGCACAGCGGGUUCAACCCAAACGUGACCUUCCCUCAUGGUCACCCCGCUACGCGCACGCCCUCGCCCGCCUUCGUCGGCGUGCAGUACCCUUCAUACAACUACUCGCCGCCCGCCUCCUACGCGUCCACACCGACGCCCCAUCUCUACCGCGGACCGCUACCCUUCUCGCACCUCGGCGGCACCGAUGACACGGGAGCCGACAUGGAUGACAUCAUCGCGACAGGAUCAAUCACGGCCGCCGAGUCUCUCAGGUUCGCCACCCAGGACGAGGUGGUUGACCUCAACGGCGACAUGGAGGCCGAGCUCGGCUACGUCUACGGCGACGACGCGCAGGAACCCGAGGAGGAGGAGGACGAGGAGGAGGAGGAGGAGGAACCGGCGCCUGUUCCGACGAAGGGGCGCUAGAAGAAGAAGAAGCGGGAGGCUAGGUCAGGCGAACCGCGCAUCAAGUGGACGUCCAAGGAGGAGGAAUGCCUCGCCGAAGCAUGGAAAGUCGUCUGCCUCGAUCCGACCACCGGCGCGAACCAGAGCUUGGACACAUACUGGGACCACAUCAAGGCCGAGUUCGACGAGCGGAAGCUCGUCGACCCCUACUUCAAAGGCGUGUACAUGCAGCGCGGCUCCAAGGCGAUGGCGAACCAUUGGGGGCGUAUCCAGUUGGCGUGCAACAAAUGGCAUGGAAUCGUCGAGGAGGUCGUGGCUCGCCCGGAGAGCGGCGCCAGCAUUGAGGAUCAGGUACGCAUGCCGUUCGCCCGAUAUCUUCGCCCCCUACGCCUGCCAACUGUUUGUCUCUCCGCGCAGCUGCUGCGUAUGUUCGCCAUGUAUCGGGGCGACAACCAAGACGCCGACUUCAAGCACCUCCACGUCUACAAGCGCAUUGACAAGUGCGAGAAGUGGGCGGAAGUCCGGCGUGCCCUCGACAAGGCCAAGGAGACAUACAAGCCAGACGCGACGACUCCGGGCGCGUCAGAGGGACGGCCGGACGGCCACAAGUUGGCAAAGAAGGAGAAAAGUGCCGACGCGGCAACCGCGCGAGUGCAGGAGUCCAUUGAGCAUUGCCUCGCCGACGCCCAGGCCCGGGCCGUCCUACGCGAAGAGAAGACCGAGGCGCGGUGGUUGUCGCUUAUGAAGAACAACGCCAUCAAGCUCGACCUGCUCCGGACGAACGUCGCCGCGAAGAAGAGGAACACCGACAUGGCUUUUCUGAUGAGCGGGGCGGACAUGCUCCAGAGCAACGACGAGAAGCUCAAGGCGUGGUACCUGGUGCAGCGCGGCCUCAUCCUGAACGAGCUGCCGACGGCAACGCCGACGACGCCGAUGACGCCCACGACCACACGGACGCCAAGCCCGGACGGCGCCUCUACAUCGCCGCCCAGUAGUGCCGAAGCCGCGCCGACGCAGCCCUGCGACGAAGCAGGUCCGACACCGACGAGCCCGCGCACGCCGACUCCGCCAACGCCUGGAGCCGACCAAGCCGAAUGAUUCGUUGCGCACGGCGCCCCUCUGUUUUCUGUAACGCCAGACUACGUCCGAUCGCCGGAUUUGCGGCGUCUUUUGAGAGCGGGAACGACCAAGUUUGAAUUUCCCGCGUCCUGGGGCCGGCGCGUGGGGGCGUGACUGGGAGCUAGGUCACCCCAGGGGCCGAACUAGCGCCGGCACCAGGUACCCUGGGGGGCGAUGUAGAGGCCCCGCGCCUAAAUAUUUGGUGUAUUUGCAAGCACCACCAACAACUAUAAGGGCUCUAUUUAGGCGCCCUGGGGGCCGAACGGCUGAAGAUGCCCUUAUAGUUGUUGAUGGUGCUUGCAAAUACACCAAAUAUUUCAGGUAAGUGCCACCUAUGCAACGACUUUAACCUUUUGAAUUAAAUAUGCCAUUAAAUUUGAAAAAGGUAACAGUAUGUAGUACACAUGAUAGCAACAUAUAAGAUAUGAAAAGAAAGUGUGCUGGUUUCUUAUUGUUCCUUGCACACAAUAACCAGAGACAAAUAUGCUAUUCUUCAAACCAACUCAACAAAAACCAGAAAGCGCAAAGGCAUAGUCAAGAGCUCACUGAUCAAACUAUCUAAUUUAAAAAUUAUUCAAUAAAGCCGAUGUGCUUUUAACUGCAUAUAAAACUCUAAAUUAAAUGACAGAAAUAGCACUAGAAACUACUGUAUAGUUAUUUUAACAAAAGAAAAUAGAUAGCUAAAUCUCUCCCUAAUAAUAAAGCAUGGAUUGGGUCUCCGGGUUCACCGUCACAAUACGCUUUCUUCUCAUGUCAUAAUACGCUUUUACAAUUUGUAUGGAAAAAAUUGUAAUAUACACGAGGUGGUACUAAUGAAAUCAAGUCGUGUGCGUCGAACGAUCGCACCGGCUCCCUUCCCUGCUGGGCUUGCCUGGACCCGUUUUUCUACUUGCAACGAAUCAGCGGCUGGACUAUCAAAAAAUAAAACUAUCAGAGACUCAAAUUCGAAAACGAUUGGUUUUUCCUUCAUACUACGGUGUUUUGACUGUGACCCAGUCGAGCUCCACAUCCCUCGCCGCUUCCUCAACUUAUCUCAACUGCCAGCGCGCCGGAGGAUGAGCAGAAGACGGAGUCGUUGCGGGCCGGCGAGCAGGUACUUAUCUCAACUUCCAGCGCGCCGCCACCACCUGCCGCUCCGCUGCGUGCCGCCACCACCGCCUCGCGCGCCGCCCUGGUCGCCGCCGCCGGCCUUGCAUCGCCUCAACGCCCGACCCCCGAGUCUCGCAGGCCCGCCACACACCUACUCUCUUCCAACAAUUCCGUGCAUCCCGGCUCGAUUACUUCAGGGAGGAGGAGGAUGACGACGAGGCAGAGCUGCUAGACACGGUCACACGGCCGCCUGUCCCGGGAAGAUCUGCAGCAACGGUGGCCUCUGGUGCACGCGGAUGUCUGUGGAGGCGGAAAUUUAAUUCGACCUCACCUCGGGCUGCCGGCCUCCCCAAGUUCCUGCUGCCGGCGCCCUCCCGAAGCUCCUGCUGGCCUCCUCCCUGAGCCCCAAGCACGAACAAGGUACUGUGCUGCACACCUGAAAGUCACCCAGCUACUCCUUGUAAAGCCAAAUCCCCUUUUGAAAUUGAGCAGUUGACCAAAUUAACUAGGAAACCCUUGACGGCAAGUUACUUCGGGACUGAUAGAAUCACCACAAAUUGAGAUGAGGCAUUCAAGCGGGCUGGACACACUGACACUCGAGCAGUAGGAUCCCUUGAACUGAAGAAAUGAAUAGGAAGAUACAUGCAAUUUAAGGUAGGCGCACACUAACGUCUCAGUAUCAGCACCAUAAUUUGUGUGUGUGUGUAUGAAUUUUUUAGUUUGUCUCAUGAUUGAUGCAUUCACCUUAGUACAGUAUAUCUUCUGUUUCAUGUGUUUUCUGUGUAAAAGUUGGGUCCCGAUGACCAAUAAGCAAAGAACAACCUUCUCCAACUGACAGUGUUAUUCUCCUAAACAAUUUGCCAUUUUGGUAUUUGCAUGGGGAAUAAAGAAGAACAUUCAUCAUUAGUACUUGAAGAGACUUGCCUGGUUGGGGCAGAACAGGAUCUGCUAUAGUGCAUGUUACUUGACUGCUCACUGUACGACUUCAAUAAAAUCAAGGUCUUUUCCUGAUGCAAGAAAAUGUUUUCUUGCUGCAAUGGUAAGCUAUUCUGAAUCCAUCUUAUAAUGUGGCUGCUCAUGUUUGGUGCAGACGUAGCGCAUGGCAGGGAGAUAAAGUGUUGAGAAAAAGGACGACGAUGUAAAGGGCAGAUGAUAGGGGAUUACUCAAUAAGUAUGCGGAGCUGCUAUAAAGUUUCCUCCUUUCUGUAUAGUUAUUUCACUAUCCACCUAAAUGUCAUCCCAUGUAUAUGUAGGAAACUAAUUUUGUGUUGCUAAAUUUUUUGUAUAUAUUUAAUAUUAUUCAGUGUUAAACUAAUAAUGAUCGAAACAAUGCUAGACUUACAUGUUGAUUCAUCAUUUGUAGACUUUUGGUUACAACGGAUAGAUAUGAGCAGUUUAGCACUAUUCUUGCUUAUAUAUCAAAAAAUAUUAUGAUCAGCAGGCUAAAUCUACCACACGGGUCGUUAGCUCCGUUACCGUAACAUUGCACCAUCCUAACACGCGAGGAAAAUAAUUUCACAAGAUUCUCAUAUUAAGUAUCUAUUCAAAGAGGUAUGUAACAAUGUGCGGGAAGGAGAAAUUCACUCGGUAACAACACCGAUUCUACGGCUUGCAUGCUGAGAGUUGAGACCUGGUGAGCUUACUCGUACUAUUGUGUGAUGUGUUAACUUACUUUUGUAGUUUCUAUAUGCCAACAUAUAUCAUGCUGUUUUAUGGUUAGUAGUAUUUCAACAUAAUUUUUCUAUUCAUGCAUUGAAGCAAAACUGCAGUUAGUUGCUACAGAGCUAGGAGAUCUUGGUGUAUAAUAAAAUAUAUUAGUAUGGAGGGGUUCCUUUGUCACCUGAUUUGAUAAGGUAUAUAGUACGGAAGUUUUUUUAUUUCAUAAUCAUAUUCUUGAUGUACUGUUUAACCUAUUUUCUUUUCAGAGAUUUGCCCUUCAAAUUUUCUUGUGAUAGCUAAUUGCCUUUCUGUAAAACUCUUUGUGCGGAUUAGUUGAUAUGAUCAAUGGUCAAACUGUUUGAGUUUCAAAAUCAUUUUAACAUUUCAAAUUUGGGGGUUGUAUAUAUACAACCGGAUAUCAUGUGUAUCAUGCAUAGCGAUCUACUUUGUUCUGUCUGUUAGCAUUAAUUAAUGUCUACUUCUUGAUUAUAUUUGAUAUACUUCAGAUAGUGAGCAUGAUUGUGGGGAUGGUGUGUAUGAGGAUUUUUUUCCCUUCUCCCAUUGGAACACACAGGUAUAUUUGGGUUUAUAAUAUGGGUUGUUGCCCCAGUUGCUUUUGCUUGGCGAUAAUGGCAAUGUAGUUAUCACCAUGUUUGCACCGUUCUUCACAUGCACAUCCCUAGGCUCCUUAUGUUACUGUUCACCAUCACUGUUGAUUAUUUCUCCUUCUAUUCUGUUAUCCAAUAGGUAUUCUCUUACUACAUAUAAAUUUGGAGGACAAAGCAUUUAUUCUGUUGAUAUAUUAAACCCCAAAUUGCUGACAUUUAUUCUGUUGAUAUAUUAAACCCCAAAUUGCUGACAUGUAACGUCUUCUAUCUGAAUUUGUUUCAUAAAAUUAAUCAUUGGUUUAGUUUGAUAGAUUAAACCCAAAUUAGUUUAUGGACUGAACUAGAAAUAACACAAUCACAUAUUAGUUUUCUUUUUAAAUUUCAUAGUAGAGAUUUAGCCGUCGAUGACCCACUACACGUGGAUGCCACAUCCUUUCUUCCUCACCUAUCGCGCGAAUUUUCAAUGCCGGUCCACUGCGAUCAGGGUGCUGGAGGCUCUUGGGCUUGCAGCUCGCAUGCUUGGAGGUAAGUUUUGUAGCCUUCCGUUGUAACGCACGGGCAUUUGUGCUAGUUAUCCUGAAUUGUAUACUUGUUAAAAAAACAUCAUAGCUAACAGAUCCUUUUUUAGCUUCCAUUUUUCUGUGCUCGGCCGUGUCAGGCGGAAACAAAUAUUCCCUCCGUCCCAAAAUGAGUGUCUCCCAAAAUAAGUGUCUCAACUUUAAUAUAAUUUUGUACUAAAAUUAGUACAAAGUUGAGACACAUAUUUUGGAACGGAGGGAGUAUACAGAUAGGAACUUACACGGAUUCCUUCUGUGACAAAUUGGCAGGAAAAAUACUAUACCAAUGCCUACAAAACCUACACUACUGCAUGACAGGCUCCUCAACAAAAGGCAAAUAUAUGAAUCCUCUGUUUUACGCAUACAUACUAUCAUAUUCCUAGGUUUUGCACAUUUUUCCUACCGUGUGAACCAACUGAGCCUAAAGGUGGGAGCUACACAGACCCGCCCGUCAACGGUAACGUCAUCACGCCUGGCAUGGGGAAACUUCAGUCAAGAUUGGAGGGCAGCCAAAUUUGCAUAAGAAAAUUGAAGGACAAGGUCCUCAUAAUUAAAAGGAUGCUACAUAUAUAUUUAACGGUGUAUGGCACUGGAAAGGUAGUCCACAUGCGGCUACUAAAGUAGUCCACAAACAGUAGCAGCUGGUGGUCGUGUGCCCGGCCCACUGCCCACAGACGUUUCCCUGGUUUUUCCUUUCAGACUAUCAUAUAGCAAAGUUAGCAACAACUGGUACAAUUAAGUGGAGGCUCAGAAUAAAAUAACUUGGAAAGCUAGCGCAAUGAUGGCAGUAGUGCAUGAAUGCCUUCACUAACAGGCAGGAAGAUUCAUGCCACCUACUCCCUCGGUCCCAUAAUAUAAGAACGUUUUUGACAUUAGUGUAGUGUCAAAAACGUUCUUAUAUUUUGGGACAGAAGGAGUACUUUAAUUCAGACAUGACUCGGAUGAGAUGCAUAUACCCAUGUGAUUUAAUCUAAAGGUAAUUUAGAUCUGUAUUUUUUUUCUCUAUAUAAUAUAUGGCACGAGGUCGCGCUCCUGAGCUCACAACACCCCAGCGCUAGCUAGACAGACAGAGCCAUGUUUCUUGCAAGUAAUGGCACACCCCAGCAGUAGCUUCUUCUCAUCAUCCUCCUCUACGCCGGCUGCUUCCUCCUCUCCUUGCCGCUCGAUGCUCCUGGACAUGUCGCUGCCGCAGUGUCGCCACCCAUCUCCUUCAGCUUCGACUUCACCAACUCAUCCUCGUACGACUGAUUUACUUUGUAGAGAAGCGCGGUGUAAUCUCCAGAUAGCCCAUGGAUUUUGUAGAGAAGCGCGGUGUAAUCUCCAGAUAGGCGUUGCCCCAUCCUAGGUUGGACUGAUUUACUUUUGCUGUAAAACAAUAUUUAUUUUUAGGCUUGUUGAACAUGUUGGCUAUGUGCAUCGCGCUAUGCAGAGGCCGGGCAUUCUUCGAUGCGGUUGUAUCACCUCGAUAUAUCAAUUGAAUGAAAUGUUCUUUAUCGAAAAAUAAGCGAGGGGGCAGGGGGUACCUUAGCCAAAUGCCAGGUGUAUGUGUAUAUCUCCUCUGAGAUGCGAUCACAUAUAUAUAUUAUUUAUUGAUCAUGCUAAUACACAAAGGAAAACAGUAGGUAAAUAUACUUAUAAAGCAUGUCUGAGUAGUAUGUGCAUAUGGCAGCUAAGAUACUUGAAGCAAAAUAGUAGUAACAGAAACUAUUUACAGGGCCAUGCACAACAUGAUUAUGGAUAGCAUGAAGAUAAAAGUAGGGCUGUGUUACGUGGAAAACAUGAGCACUAUCCAUAGGGCGAUACUUUGAGUAUUUAGCUUAGAAGCAUAAUCAGAUAUUUGGAUCACAUGAUGAAAUUAUUCCCAAGAAUCAGAUGAUUUUUUUAAUGGCAUUGUCUUGCUAAGGUUACUUAAACAACUACGAAAUGGGCAUCAAACCCAAUGGAAGCCAAGAUAUAAUGAUGUGAAGCUUUUCAGAACUUAACACUGAACACCUAAGGUAGAUAUCAAAUCUAUGAAUGCAAAGGAAAUACGAAAAGCAAUUUCAGUACUGGAAGUUUUGGAAAUACCAAAUAAUGCAUUCCUUGGAGAGUUGACACACACACAUAGCCAUUUAUUGUUGUACAUCAAACCUAAUGGAAGCCAAGAUAUAUUGUCCAGGGUUUAGAUUCUGGCAGUUCAUAUAUUUCAGCCUAGGCUUCAUACCUCACCAAAUAUCUAUGUUACAGAUAUGAGCAGUCUUAAGCCAAUCAAAGACAUUAUCCUUUCAGCACUCUUGCUGAGCUUAGGGUUGCAAAAUCCAAAUCAUUUCACACUUGAUAUAUGUAAGCAUUCCAUAGAGCUCAGAUUCGCCACCUGCUGGGUCAGGCACAGCUGAACAUAAGAAACAAUUAAAUUUUCAUGACAGACUAAUAAGAACCGCAAACAAUUAGAAUUUUGAAAGAGCUCGCAAAAGAGUUCACGACAAUAGGCAUCUAUAUCAUGGAUGCAGAAUUUAAUAAGAACCGCAAACAAUUAGAAUUUAAAAAGAGUUCACUGCUCAGGCUAUUAAUGAAUAAAACUAAUGUGCGUAACUCUAAACUAAAUGGCAUAAACGGUACUAAGAACUACAGUAUGACUAUUUUAACACAACAAAAUGGAUAGGUAAAAAUUAUCUUGAUUUGCACAUCUAUACUUGUUCAAAAGCAGCAUAGCUCACUGGGGCAGAUCCAUUUAUUGCUUCUAUAUUUCUGUUGUCAGUUGUGUCAACUGCAAAUAAAUAUAUAGCUAGGAAGUUUCACAGGUUCCUUCUCCAGCAAGAGGCAGAAAAACACUUCGCCGAUGACAAAUAAACCUACAUUGCAUGAUAGGCUCACAAACAAAAUGAGCCUAUCCUACAUUGCAUAAGGUCAAAUAUAGUUGAAAACCACCUGAAGCAGAUUAUGUUACUUCAAAAUCAGAGUGUCUUUCAUUGGCGGCUGAUGCUUGACAAACCUACACUGCAGGAUAGGCUCACCAACAAAGUAGCCCAAUAUUUAUAGUUGAAAACCAGCUGAAGCAGAUUAUUUUACUUGAAAAGUACAGAGAAUAGCUCACUGAUACUCUCAAUUCACGUGCUGGAAAUGGCCUGAUCUCGCACUCUCUUAGCUCCAAUACAUCUUUCAUGUGUUUUAACAGGGGAAAACUUUGACUCAUUGAUUUCAAAAGAACGAUAUCUCAUGAUUUCGAACAGUAGACCAGAUACCCAUCUUGCAUCAUUAAACACAAUCAAAACGAAGAAUUGCAUCAGUAGACACAUCAAUUUGCCACUUAUGCUAGGAUGGACAACAAGCCUAAGGUAGGUGUUAGUUUGUACAAAGACUUACAGCUUAGCUGAAAGCAACAAUUUGGUCUGAAAUUUGUAACUUGAUGAAAUUCAUUUUGUGAACUGACAGUUUUUCUGUAGAUAUGAUGAGAUUAAUUCAAGACUAGUAGAUAGAUAUUAUAAGAAUAAAUGAAUGCCAACUCCACUCAUUUAUUUCUGAAGAUUAAGGGCAGAUAUAAAUGAUAAAAAUCAGUUGUUAAUCAUACUUUAGAGCCAAAUAGGUUACUUGUUCAAUAUUUAAACUUUCCCAGAAAAGGUAUGGUAAACUACAGGAUUUAGGAAUCAAUCUUUGAAGAAUACAGGGAAAGAAAUCAGAAGACAGACAAUAAAAACAGACCCGGUAGAAAUAUAUCUUCUAGAAGCAUAAUCUAAAUAUUAUACACUGAACAAUUUUGGCAAAAAAGAUGACGAACUGAAAAAGGAACAUGCUAGACAAAAUUCGGCAUGAAAGCAUAUCACAACAAUGCAGGACAGUUCUUUUGCUUUCUGGUUUUCAGGCUCCUGGUUUCAACAGAAAAUUGGUCCCACCCACACAUGACACAUCCAUUUCUGUAAUCUUAAACAGAAGAGGGGACCAUAAACAUAUUCCUGACUUUUUAUCUUGAGAAAUUGCAGGCAAUGCUUUCUUCUCUACCAAAUGGCAUCAACUCGUGGGGCUUAAGGAAUCAACAAAUAUCCAGUUAGGCAAAGAGCAACGAAACAUAAUUUACCAGAUUACCACGCAGAGUGAAAACUUUGUAGCGCCAUAUGCUGCUACCAAUUCUCACAGCCCAUUCUUGGUUCAUAUAAAUCUGAAAUUAGUCAGCAUUUCCCCUCUGCAAGCGGCAUCAUAGUCUUCAGUGAGGUAUGGUGCAGCUUCCUUGUGAGUGUAUAUGAACUUCUCCAUGAAUAUCUUCUCGGUCAGCUUGAAAAUUACAAUAGUCUCAGUCGCGAUCUAGCAAUCCAUUUGCCUUGAGAAACUUUAUAACGCGGUACCGGGGCCUGACUCGGCCCUCCAGGAUAAGGCAAAGCAUCACCGGCCGUUGAGCAAGGUACGCCGGUUCCAUCCCCAUCUCAGAGAUAAGAAACUCCGACUUGCUCUGCAGUGUCUGAUUGGAUUUGGUCAGCAUCAGUGGGGCCUUACAAAGAGCAAUGCCCACCUCAGCAUCCGACCACCUGAACGUGUUCCUUAAGUACUCCACUUUGGCGGCGAGCUUCUCCUCACUAAGGGAUUCAACAGCCUUCAAACGCGUGCCUGAACAUCCCCGAUCCCUCGGGCCGGGACGGGCUUCGGGCCGGGCCUAGCCAAGCCCGACGUAGAAAACCUAGGCCUAGGCCCAGCCUGGCUUGGGCGUUGGGUCUAGAAAAUCAGGCUCAAGCCUGGCCCACAUGUGUAAAAGCCCGCCGGGCCUCGGGACGGGCCCCCUCGAUAAAUCGCAAAAUUGGCGGGCCCGGGCCCGGGCCGAGUGCAGCGUCGGGCCAGGCCGUUCGGGCCGGGCUGCCCAUGGCCAGGUGUAGUUGGGAGCAAUUAAUUGAGGGAGGCUCCUGUUCGGUGGGCCCACGACGCGAACUCGUGUUGUGCCGCUGUAACAGACAAAGUGUUCUGCUAACCACUACAGUUUGUAACCUCAAGUGACCCGGAAGAAUGCGAAAGGUUUAGAAACCAUUGUAUCCACGUUACUUAUUAGAUUUUUGAAUUAUUUGUAAACAAUUUUUUUAUGAAAAAGAGUUCAUAAAAUUUCAAAAAAAGUUUACGAAUUUGUAAAAACAGUUCCUUGUUUUAAAAAAAGUUCAUCAAAUUUUAAAAAAGGUUCAUCGGUUUUAAAAAAGUUCAUCAAAUUUGAAAAGAGUACAUUCGUUUUUUCUACAAAUUUAAUCAAAUUUGCAAAAACUUCAUCGAAUUUGAUAAAAGUUUAGAAAUUUUGAAAAAGUUCAUCAAAUAUGAAAAAAGUUUAUCGAAUUUGAAAAAGUUCAUCGAACUUCAAAAAAAAUUCAUCAGUUUAGCAAAAAUUCAUCGAACUUGAAAAAUGGUUCAUCGGUUUUAAAAUAAAUUCGUUCAAUUUAGCAAAAGAAAAAAACAAAUCAAAGAAAAAAAGUAAAAGAGAUAUGAAUGAAAGAUUUUUUUUUGGAAUUGUAUGAAGGAAAGAGUAAAGAUAUAAUUGUGCACCUAAGUUGAGGCCUGUGGUUAGCGCAAUGAAGAACGACCGGGAGGUUGCAAGUUCGAAUACCAUCGGACACCCCUGCGUUUUUGUGUUUUCUAUACAAACGGAAAGAAAGGGGAAAUGGGCCGAGCCCAAGUAGGCGCCGGUUCGCGAACUGGCGCCGAAGCGCCAAAUAGGUUUCACCAUUAAUUCAAGGUUAAUUCAGAAAUCCCUAUUUGACGCAUUCCGCGUCAAAAUGUCACCAUAUCACACAAAAGAUCGAGACUCGACAUUGCACCGGCCCAUUUAAGCGUUCCCGAUUUUGGAAACCCUAGAGGUUCCCAUCCGGUUUUUUAUGGUUUUGGGAAACUUCUAGAAGGUUCCUGAACCGGACUUUUCCUGUUACCUUUCUCUUCCCUUUUUCUUCUUUUUCCCUGCUUCCCUUUUUUCUUUUCUCUUCUUUUUUCCUUUUCCUUUUUAUUUUCUAUACAUUUUCCGUUUUUUGUUUCUUUAUUUCUUUCCUUUUUCCUUUUCUAUUUUAGCUUCAUUUUUAUUUUUCUUUCUCAAAUAAAGUUUCUUUUUGAAAAAAUAUUCAGAAACUUAAAAAAUCUUCACAUUUUAGAAAAACAAAUCAUUUGUCCAGAAAAAAAUUUGUUUUUAAAUUUUGUUCAUAAAUUCCAAAAAACACUAAGAAUUACAAAUUUUGUUUGCUUCAUCUCAGAAAAUGUCCGAAAAUUCAAAAUUUUCACCUUUUCAGAUUUUGUUCACAAACCAAAAAAAAUUUGCUUUCCUGUUUUAAUAUUCUUUUACAAAUUCAGAAAAUUUUCAUGUUUCAAAAUUUGUUCACAAAUUAAAAAAAAUUAGGGAAUAUAAAAAAUUGUUAACAUGUCAAAAAUGUUCUUGUUUUCAAGUUUUAUUCAAAAAUUCAGAAAACAUUCAUGUUUCAAAAUUUGUUCACAAAUUAACAAUGUUCGCAUUUUGUAAUUUUCUUCACAAAUUAAAAAUAGUUCAUGAAUUUUAAAAAUGUUCCUGGUUUCCAAAUUUGUUCACAAAUUCAUUAAAUCACCGUGUUUCAAAAUUUGUUCACAAAUUCAAAUAAUGUUUCAACUUUUAAAUUUUGUUCACAACUACAAAAAAAAUUGGAAUUACAAAAAAAAUGUUCAUAUUUUCCCAAUUUUGUUCAAAAUUCAAAAAUGCUGAAGAAAUAUAAAAAUAAGAUCUACGAAAUAAUAGAAGCUAGAAUAUACCUUGGCAUGCACACACAAAUUUGCAAGCUAUACUAAGCUGAUAAGUGUUAAUAAGUUGUACAACAUAUACAACACUUAAGACAAGUAAAAGCAAUUUGAUGAGUCAUGGCCUAUCAAAGCAAGCCACAUUACUAGUCUAAUCCAUCUUAACAGGUCACACAUGAUUACAAUCUUGUUUGUGUGCAAGUCAAGCUUAUCUAGUUUACACGUAACAACUUGUAGAACAACAAAAUUGAUGUUUGCUAAUAACUUCUAGAACACUACAACACUUGACAUGUAAAAGGAAUUUGAUGAGUCAUGGCCUACUAAAGCAAGUUACAUUACUAGUCUUAUCUAUCUUAACAGGCCACAUAAGAUUACGAACUAAGUUCUAUGCCAGCCAUGCUUAUCUAGUUUAUGCAUAACAAUUUGCAGAAAAUUACAAACUUAGUUUCAGAAAAAUAGGCAAUCUAGAUUAGUGUUUGAGCUGUAAAGUGAAUAAGAUGAGUCAUGCAUGUUAUCACACCUUUUUGGUGGUGGAAUGACAGUGCAACAAAAAGGAACUUUAAUGACUAGUCCAAGAAUAAACUUGUAAGUAGUGCCACCAAACACAACAUACCAAGUUAUGAUUUUGGGAAGCAUCCAAGCACUUUCCACACAAGAAAAUGCCAAUUGUGAAAGAGAUUAUGCCAUGGCAGCUAUAAAUAGGCCCCUAGCAUGAUGAUUAUCCUUCCUCAUUCAUCAUUCUCAUAAGCAGAGCGCAUCAUUCAAGCCAAUCAAGGAGUGGUCAAUACAAAUCCACCAUGAAGACCUUUAUCAUCCUUGCCCUCCUUGCUAUUGUGGCGACCACCGCCACAACUGCAGUUACAGUUCCAGUGCCACAAUUGCAGCCACAAAAUCCAUCUCAGCAACAACCACAAAAGCAAGUUCCAUUGGUGCAACAACAACAAUUUCUAGGGCAGCAACAACCAUUUCCACCACAACAGCCAUAUCCGCAGCCGCAACCAUUUCCAUCACAACAACCAUAUCCACAGCCACAACCAUUUCUGCCACAACUACCAUAUCCGCGUCCGCAACCAUUUCUACCACAACAACCAUAUCCACAACCGGAACCACAGUAUCCGCAACCACAACAACCAAUUUCGCAACAGCAGCAGCAGCAACAACAACAACAACAACAAAUCCUUCAACAAAUUUUGCAACAACAACUGAUUCCAUGCAGGGAUGUCAUCUUGCAACAACACAACAUAGCGCAUGCAAGCUCACAAGUUUUGCAACAAAGUACUUACCAGUUGUUGCAACAAUUGUGUUGUCAGCAGCUGUGGCAGAUCCCCGAGCAGUCGCGGUGCCAAGCCAUCCAGAAUGUUGUUCAUGCUAUUAUUCUGCAUCAACAACAACAACGACAACAACAACAACAACAACAACAACAACAACAACAACAACAACAACAACAACAACAACAACAACAACAACAACAACAACAACAACAGCAGCAACAACCGUCGAGCCAGGUCUCCUUCCAACAGCCUCAGCAACAAUAUCCAUCAGGCCAGGGCUCCUUCCAGCCAUCUCAGCAAAACCCACAGGCCCAGAGCUCUGUCCAACAUCAACAACUACCCCAAUUUGAGGAAAUAAGGAACCUAGCACUGCAGACGCUACCAGCAGUGUGCAAUGUCUACAUCCCUCCAUAUUGCUCGACCACCAUUGCGCCAUUUGGCAUCUUCGGUACUAACUGAGAAGAGAAGAACUCUAGUACUAGAUAUAUGAAACACUGUUUUCUUAGUCCAUGGUUUGGUCAUUGUAGCGGUGAGAAAAUAAAGUGACAUGCACUAUCAUGUAAGAACCCGAACUAUACUAGUUCAAACUUGGGAAUAAAAGACAAACACAGGUCUUGUCUACAUAUGGUUGUUUCUUUGUGUUCCAUUCAUGUGCCCGUUCACAAGUUCACCCCUAAUUAUAUAUAUUAUGCAUUACGUAGAUAUUUAUGUUGCAUUAAUUUACAGAUAAUAAAAUGAGUCUGAAACUUGAAUUAAAUUGAAGUAUUUUCUUGGACUUUCAAAUUGACUAUUAUUAAAGUAGUAAGGACUAUCCACAUCCUUGGCUCGCCCUUGAUCAAUUAAUUCCAGAGAAGCAUUCAAUUCAUCAAUCAAUUACAUUGAUUUUUGUGGCUCGUACUUCUCCUCAACAUGAGUAUAUUCAUUGCAGCUACUUCGAAUCGGCAUGAAUGAGGUACUGGUGCCUGGAGCAGUGCUAGCUGAUUGCCUCUAAUGUGAAGGGGCGUGGGCACAGGAGAGGUGUUUUGGGUGGGCCAGGCGAGUAAGAAGCGGGCCCAUCAGCGGUCCGGACGCCCGCAAAGCCCCGUAGUUUGUUUUCGGUUUACAGGAAAAAAACACAUCCGGACCGGCCUGCGGGCCAAUAUAGGACCGUACGUAUUGGAUGGCAAAACAUGUUCGGAUGGUUGCGAGCAGUUUGAGGGAUAGCUUUAGAGAUAGCCCUUACUUGACCCCUCGUUCCGAAAACAAUUAUGACGAUAGAUUUGCCUCGGUUCAGAAAUAUGUCAGGUUUAACAAAGUUUAUUGGAAUUUUCUUUAUCAUAUCUACAGUACCAUACAAAUACACCAUAGAAAAAGAAGCAUAUUUCAUGAUUCACCAUGAAUUGGCCAGGUAAAUGUUGGGUCUGGAGACUCUAUUCUCUUUUGGCAUGAGUUGCCUAGGUCUCAAAAGUUUCAUGAACCGUUCUCUUUUGCCAUUAAGAAAAAGCCCUCUUUGGCUGAUUUUAUUCAUAGUGAUGAUCUGACUCUCCAUUUUCAUAGGCAUACCACCCUGCAAGCUCUUGCUCAAUUCAUUGACAUCAUUGACUUAGUUCAUAAAAAAAUCAACAAAGGAAUAAAAUAAUAUCACGAAGAUACCAAUUACACCCGUCCUCUCUAUCAACAAGCUAGAUGUCCAAAGACAUCAAGGAUACACACAGCUGGAAAAAAUAAUAGAAGAAAAAAGAUCCCGCCAUGGUGAUCGAUCACUAGCAUCUGUAGCACUCUAACCACCACCAAAGACAACACCCGGAUUACCAAAAAAAUUCUCCAGAAACAACCCCCCAAGAAGGAAACAAUGCACAAGCGUUGUCAUUACCCGAUUGAAGAUCGUGGGUUUUGACCCUAGAAAAAUUUCAAGCUCACCCAAAAACAUUGCCUUCAUCAAGGCCAUUGGCAGGUACAACCAAUAAAGGCUAGACCUUGGAUUUUCACCCUAGGAAUUGAGACUCAGUACUCGAGGAGUACCACCAAAAAUGCAGUCCUCCAGUGAUGGUGCCCCCGCUUGCCGAGGCCGCUAUUUCAAGUCACCAAACACAUGGCGCACAUUCUUCAACGCAUCAAUUACACCCUUCCAGCAAAGCUUCAAGACCUCGAAUUGCAGUCGCGAUGACUUUCUCCACCUCUAUCAAUGCCUUAAGAAUCUUGACUUAGACAUGUCCCAUGACACCAAUAAGAAAUUGAAGCUUCUUGUCGCGCCCUCUUGAGGUCGUGUUGGCUAAUAAUAUGAGCGUGCGCCACCGGAGCCUUUCUGAUCUAGAUAUCCAGGGGCGACAUACACAAAUCUGUAUAGAUAUCCGAUGGGAAAGAGCAAAAUUGGUCACCGGCUAGAUCUAAGAGGUUUGGUCACCGGCUAGAUCUAAGAGGUCGACAUCCGGCAGAAAGGCAACUUGGCGGAAGAACAGUACUAGGGCCAAACCACCAUUAUUACGCUGAGGCUAUCUGUGGUGUCCAAGGCCCAAUGCACCACAUGUCUUCAAAUUGGCCACCAGUAGUAGCCCUUAGAAUAGACAGGGCCAGUUUGCAAAUUUUAAAACAUAGGUUUUUAGCACGCAUGAAAAACAUAAUACGUAUCUUUCCACACAUAAUGAACUAUAGGUACCACCCAAAAAAACAUAAUGAACUAUAGGUUGUCAUCAGAACUCAUGCCAUCCCACAGCCUCCCUCCGACCCUGCCAACAUUAUUGCAGCUGCACUCGCAAGCGUUACCGUGGAUGAUCAUUUGCAUGAUUUCACGUAAAACAAAAUAAGAGCUACAAAUGAAUAAAAGCUACACAUACCUUGGCAUACACACACAUUGCAAGCCAUACUAUGCUGCUAAGUGUUAAUAACUUGUACAACAUAUACAACAGUUAAGACAAGUAAAAGCAAUUUGAUGGGUCAUGUCUAUCAAAGCAAGCUACAUUACUACUUUAAUCUAUCUUAAAUGGGUCACACAUGAUUAUAAUCUUUUUUGUGUGCAACUAAAGCUUAUCUAGUUUACACGUAACAACUUGUACAACAUUACAAAGUUGAUGUUUGCUAAUAACUUCUAGAACACUACGGCACUUGACAUGUAAAAGGAAUUUGAUGAGUCAUGGCCUACUAAAGCAAGUUACAUUACUAGUCUCCUCUAUCUUAACAGGCCACAGAAGAUUACAAACUAGGUUUCGUGCAUGCAAUGCUUAUCUAGUUUACACCUAACAACUUGCAUAACAUUACAAACUUAGUUUGAGAAAAUUAGGUAAUCUAGAUUAGUGUUUGAGUUGUAAAGUGAAUAAGAUGAGUCAUGUGUGUUAUCAUAGAUUUUUGGUGGUGGAAUGAUAGUGCCACCAAACACAACAUAUCAAAUUAUGAUUUCAGGAAGCUUCCAAGCACUUUCUUGGCAAGCAAAUGCCAACUGUGAAGGUGAUUAUGCCAUGGUAGCUAUAAAUAGGACUGUAGCAUGAUGAUCAUCCUUCCUCAUCCAUCAUUCUCGUAAGUAGAGCGCACCAUUCAAGCCAAGCAAGCAGUGGUCAAUACAAAUCCACCAUGAAGACCUUUCUCAUCCUUGCCCUCCUUGCUAUCGCGGCGACCACCGCCACAACUGCAGUUAGAGUUCCAGUGCCACAAUUGUAGCCGCAAAAUCCAUCUCAACAACGACCACAAUAGUAAUUUCCGUUGGUGCAACAACAACAAUUUCCAGGGCAGCAACAACCAUUCCCACCACAACAGCCAUAUCCGCAGCCGCAACCGUUUCUGUCACAACAACCAUAUUCGCAACCGUAACCAUUUCCGCCACAACUACCAUAUCCACAAGCGCAACCAUUUCCAACACAACAACCAUAUCCACAACCGCAACCACAGUAUCCGCAACCACAACAACCAAUUUCGCAGCAGCAGCAGCAGCAACAACAACAACAACAACAACAACAACAACAAAUCCUUCAACAAAUUCUGCAACAACAAAUGAUUCCAUGCAGGGAUGUCGUCUUGCAACAACACAACAUUGCAUAUGCAAGCUCACAAGUAUUGCAACAAAGUAGUUACCAACUGUUGCAACAAUUAUGUUGUCAGCAGCUGUGGCAGAUCCCCGAGCAGUCGCGGCGCCAAGCCAUCCACAGUGUCGUUCAUGCUAUUAUUUUCCAUCAUCAUCAACAACAACAACCGUCGAGCCAGGUCUCCUACCAGCAGCCUCAACAACAAUAUCCAUCAAGCCAGGGCUCCUUCUAGCCAUCUCAGCUAAACCCACAGGCCCAGGGCUCUGUCCAGCCUCAACAACUGCCCCGGUUCAAGGAAAUAAGUAACCUAGCGCUGCAGAUGCUGCCAGCAAUGUGCAAUGUCUACAUCCCUCCAUAUUGCUUGAGCACCAUUGUGCCAUUUGGCAUCUUCGGUACUAACUAAUAAGAGAAGAACUCUAGUACUAGACAUAUGAAACACCGUUUUCUUAGUCCAUGGUUUGGUCGUUGUAGCGGUGAAAAAAUAAAGUGACAUGCACUAUCAUGUAAGAACCCGAACUAUACUAGUUCAAACUUGGGAAUAAAAGACAAACACAGGUCUUGUCUGCAUAUGGUUGUAUGUUUGAGUUCCAUUCAUGUGCCCGUUCACAAGUUCACCCCUAUUUAUAUACAUUAUGCAUUAAGUAGAUAUUUAUGUUGCAUUAAUCUAAACAUAAGAAAAUGAGUCUGAAACUUGAAUUGAACUGAAGUAUUUUCUUGGACUUUCAAAUUGAGUAUUAUUAAAGUAGUAAGGACUAUCCACAUCCUUGGCUUGCCCUUGAUCAAUUAUUUCCAGAGAAGCAUUCAAUUUAUCAAUCAAUUACAUUGUUUUUUGUGGAUGGUACUUCCCCUCAACAUGAGUAUAUUCAUUACGGCUACUCAAAUCAUCCACAUAACUGAAGCAUUAAUGGCGCUCUUCCUUGCAUCAAGGAAAUAUGGUUCAAAGAUAUCUCUUGACCAUGUUUCCGAGUGCAACCUUGGGAGUUUGAUGUCAAAAUAUUCUCAAGCAGAAUCCAAGAAUAAACUUGCAUGCUCACAUGUGAUAAGUGAAGGAAAUAUGCCCUAGAGGCAAUAAUAAAGUUGUUAUUUUAUAUUUCCUUAUAUCAUGAUAAAUAUUUAUUAUUCAUGCUGGAAUUGUAUUAACCGGAAACUUGAUACAUGUGUGGACACAUAGACAACACACCGUGUCCCUACUAAGCCUCUACUAGACUAGCUCAUUAAUCAAAGAUGGUUAAGUUUCCUAACCAUAGACAUGUGUUAUCAUUUGAUGAACGGGAUCACAUUGUUAGGAGAAUGAUGUGAUGGACAAGACCCAUUCGUUAGCUUAGCAUUAUGAUCGUUCAGUUUUAUUGCUAUUGCUUUCUUCAUGUCAAAUACACAUUCCUUCGACUAUGACAUUAUGCAACUUCCGGAUACCAGAGGAAUGCCUUGUGUGCUAUCAAACAUCACAACGUAACUGGCUGAUUAUAAAGAUUGUCUACAGGUAUCUCCGAAGGUGUUUGUUGGGUUGUCAUAAAUCGAGAUUAGGAUUUGUCACUCCGAGUAUCGAAGAGGCAUCUCUGGGCCCUCUCGGUAAUACACGUCAUAAGAAGCCUUACAAGCAAAGUGACUAAUGAGUUAGUUGCAGGAUGAUGUAUUAUGGAACGAGUAAAGAGACUUUCCGGUAACAAGAUUGAACUAGGUAUGAAGAUACCGACAAUCGAAUCUCGGGCAAGUAACAUACCGAUGACAAAGGGAAUAACGUAUGUUGUCAUAACGGUUUGACCGAUAAAGAUCUUCAUAGAAUAUGUGGGAGCCAAUAUGAUCAUCGAGGUUCCGCUAUUGGUUAUUGACCGGAGAUGUGUCUCGGUCAUGUCUACAUAGUUCUUGAACCCGUAGGGUCCGCAUGCUUAACGUUCGUUGACGAGAUAGUAUUGUAUGAGUUAUGUGAUUUGGUAACCGAAUGUUGUUCGGAGCCCGGAUGAGAUCACGAACAUGACGAGGAGUCUUGUAAUGGUCGAUAGGUGAAGAUUGAUAUAUAGGACGAUGGUAUUUGGACACCGGAAGUGUUUCGGAAAGCACCGGGUACUUAUCGGGUCACCGGAAGGGGUUCCAGGCACCCCUGGCAAAAGAUAUGGGCCUUAUGGGCCAAGAGGGGAAACACACCAGCCACAAAGGGGUUGUUGCUCCCCCUCCCCCAUAUGGGCUGGCCAAAUUGGAGAAGGAAAGGGGAAGGAGGAAAGGGGAAGGAGGUGAAAGAACAUGCGGUGCCCCCAUGUUUGGUUUUGGUAAUUGAUGACAAUCUCUAUGGACUAAUGGUUGUCUUGAGUUGUAUUUGAACGAUUUGUCCAUAGGCUUUUCUUGAAGUCCAUGUGUUGGUUUCAAGGAGUUUUUGAGUUGACCAAGGUGCUAUUAAGGAAUUAUCCAAAGAUUGGUCAUGCGAGUGUUGAGCUUAUUGCAAGCAUGUCUUGAAGAAGAAGGUUGUGUGAUCAUUCAUGUUUACCUUCCAGACAUCAUCCAAAUGAAUAGAGUUGCAAAGAUUCAAGGUUGAUCAAGACUAAGUCAAGAGUGAAUCAAGUUGAUCAACUCAAAAAGCAUAGAAGAUGUACCGAGAGGGAUCAAGUGAUCCCAUGGUAUGGUAAGCAUUGUCCAUUACACUUUAUGUACUAACCCAUGGUCUAUGUGAGAGUUGUAUGUGGGGUUAGGUACGUAUCCAUGGGCUUGCGUCAAGAGGAAGAUAUCAUACAACCCAUGGAAAGGAUGACAUCAAGUGGUGAUCGUCAUCAAGAUUGCCGUGUGCAAGUUCAAGUGGAGCAUCACGAAGAGAUCAAGUGCUUUAAUCUUGCCAUCCAUUAUGGUGUCAAUGGACUUGUGAAGAUGUGCCAAAGAGUGGCUCACCCAUAGUGAACUAUGGGGGAGCAAUCAUCUAGUCUUCAUCGAGCCAACGCAAUCAAGAAAGGUGGUCUAACUUGAGGGAGUCAAGAUCGUCUUCAUCUAUCUCAAGUGGACCAUGUGCAAGGCAAAGGUUUUCCCUUGAUAGGUUUUCUAUUUUACCGGUCUUGUGGUGGUAGUUGGGAGACCGAGUUAUAGGAUCGUUUGUCGUACUAUCAAGGGGGGCUCUCAAGUUGGUAGCUUGAUCGUAUCGUUAGUAGAGAGCUCAAACCAUUGCAUCCUUGCAUCAUGUUUCUUGGUUCUUGUUUGGUUCUCUUUGUGAGUCUUAGAGCUUAUGGUCAUCUUGAUGACAAGCUUGAGUUCAUCAAAAACGGAGUUCACAUGCGUCUUAUAUGAUGUUUUCGGUGUUGGAGGUUUUACCGGUCUUUUCCGAGGAAGGGUUCUCACCAUUUUCCUUUGGGACUUUUCGCAUUUGCUUAUUCUUGAUAUUUCUAUCAAGAUUGUGUUAGCCCAUGUCGUUAGCUUUCCAACAAACUUGGUUUCGUUGAAUUCGGAGUCCGUUUGCAAAAGUUGUGGCUGUUUUGGUAAAGGCUGCAGCGGUACUACCGCGACUAGAGCGGAUGUGAUUUUUUACUACCGCUCCAGAGCAGUACUACCGCGGCUCUUGAGCGGUAGUACCGCCCCAAAGCAGUACUACCGCGGCUCCUAAGCGGUAGUACCGCUCCGGACCAAAAUCUCGUGUUUUGCUCAGCGGAAGUAGGCACAGAAGUAUUUUUUUAGUACCGCUCGCAAGUAGUAGUACCGCUACCAUUUGCGGUAGUACCGUCAGGUCGAGCGGUAGUACCGUGAGGACGAGGGGUACUACCGCUCCGAAGGUUCUUUUGGCCUUUUUGCCUCCUCGCUGUUGUGUUUCGAAGGGGUACUACCGCCCUAGCGGUAGUACCGCUCCUUAGAGCGGUAGUACCGCUCUAUGCGGGCUGUGAGCAUAACGGUUGGAUUCGGGAGCUCCUAUAAAAGGGGGUCUUCUUCCCCAUUCAACCUUAUCCUUUGAGCUCGUGUUCUUCCCCCAUUGUUGACCUUCUUCGAGCUUGCUAACUCUCAAUCCCUCCAUGGAUUCUUGCUAGUUUUUAAGGGAAAAGAGAGAGGAGAUCUAGAUCCACAUUUCCACCAAUCACUUUCUCCUCUAUGUGAGGGGAACCCCUUGGAUCUAGUUCUUGGAGUUCUUGGUGUUCUCCUUCUUGUUCUUCCUCUCAUUUUCCUCCCUAGCAUUAGUUGCUUCGGUGGGAUUUGAGAGAGAAGGACUUGGGCACUCCGUGUGCCCUUGCCAUUGCAUUUGGUGCAUCGGUUUGAGUUCUCCACGGUGAUACAUGGAAGUUACAAGUUGAGAAGCUUAUAAUUCUUGGGUGCUUGGUGCCCUUGAGCUUGUUCCUCUUGGGUGCUUGGGCGCCCUAGACGGUUGGUGGUGUUCGGAGCUCAAUCAUUGUGGUGUAAAGCUCCGGGCAAGCGUCGGGAUCUCCAAUUAGGUUGUGGAGAUCGCCCCGAGCAAUUUGACGGGUACCGGUGACCGCCCCCAAGGGUUGCCAAAGUGUACGGGUUCGGUGACCGCCCCCAAGGGUCGCCAUUUGUACGGGUUCGGUGACUGCCCUCAAGGGUCCCUUAGUGGAAUCACGACAUCUUGCAUUGUGCGAGGGCGUGAGGAGAUUACGGUGGCCCUAGUGGCUUCUUGGGGAGCAUUGUGCCUCCACACUGCUCCAAACGGAGAUUAGCAUCCGCAAGGGUGUGAACUUCGGGAUACAUCAUCGUCUCCGUGUGCCUCGGUUAUCUCUUACCCGAGCCCCUUUACUUAUGCACUUUACUUUGUGAUAGCCAUAUUGUUCUUUGUCAUAUAUCUUGCUAUCACAUAGUUGCUUAUCUUGCUUACCAUAAGUUGUUAGUGCACAUAGGUGAGCCUAGUUGUUGUAGGUUUUGUGCUUGACAAAUUAACCGCUAGGUUUAUUCCGCAUUUGUUCAAGCCUAAACCGUAAUUAUUUUAAAGCGCCUAUUCACCCCCCCCCCUCUAGGCGACAUCCUCGAUCUUUCAAUUGGUAUCAGAGCCUCGUCUCUCUUUAUUAGGCUUUACCGCCUAGAGAGUAAAGAUGUCGACUAGGGGAUUAGGAUUCUCUGACACUCUUAAUUUCGAUGGCACAAAUUUUGAUGUUUGGGUAAUUUGCAUGCUUAAUCUCUUUAGGGUCAUGGACCCAAAUUUAGAGCGAAUUGUAGAUAUGGGUUUUUCUCCUCCAAAGGAUCCCCAAAGAUUAUCUUUAGAGGAUGAGAAAAACUCUUAUCUCAAUGCUCAAGCUUCUAAUGUGCUUUUCGAUGCUUUGAGCAAUGUAGUUAUAUUUCAACUCAUGCCGUUCCGAGAUGCUCAUGAGUUGUGGACGAAGCUUCAAGAUAAAUAUGGUGUGUCCAAGAUUUGUGGGGAUGAUUGUUCUCCCUCCACCUCGGGUCGUAUAGUCUUCUCAACUUCUUCUACUUCACCUACAUGUGGUUUGCCACAAGGUAAUGACAUGGUGAGUAGUGUUGGUCAUUGCAAUGAUGAUAGUAUGCUUAUUGUGGAUGAUCCUUCAUCACUAUAUUAUUGCAAUGCUCCUUCUUUGGGCUUUAACACUUCGAGCACUCCAAAUGUUUCACAUGCUUGUGUUGAUAGUCCUUGCAUAUCAUGUAGAAAUUGCUUGACUAAAUCUCAUGAUGAUAUGCUUGCUAUGUCUUGUUGCCAUGAUAAAAAUGCAUCUAUUUCCUCGAAUUGUUGUGCUAACAAUGUAGUGAAAACCGAACACUCCAUGGAACAAGAUGUGGUGUUUAAUGGUGCCUCAAGGGAUCCUACAUCAUCAUCUAUUGCUUUUUGCCUUAUGGCUAAGGCGUCAAAGGUAUCUCCUACUUUGUACCCCAAUAUGUCUCUUGAUGAUGAUGUUGAUGCUAAUGAUGAUGAGGAUAAUGAUGAAGAGAAUGAUAAUGUUUCCUCCUUAAAAACUAAGGGGGAAAUGAUUUUUAAAGCUCUUCAUAAAAAUAAAAUUGCUCGUUCCAACUUCAUGGAAAUAAUGUCCAUUGUCAUUGAUGGCAAGAAAUACAUUGAGGAGUUGGAAUCUCAUCUAGAGGAGCAUGAGGCCACCAUUGAUAAAAUGGAAGGUCAUGGGCGCGAUUACGCUAAUGAGAUUGCGGACCUCUCUCAAGCUCUUGAACUUGAACAAACCACCAAGGAAUCUCUUGAGGAGACUUUUGCUCUAGAAUUGUCUAAAGUGAAGGAAUCUACUGAUAGAGCUCUUAAGGUGGCCAAUGUUUUUGAAACUAAAAAUGCUAAACUUGAAGUUGCUCAUGCUAGACUCCUUGAGGAUUUUGAGCACCUCGAAAAUGGCUCAAGGGUCAUCAAGGGUGAGCUCAUCAAACUCACCGAGUCUCAUGCUCAACUUGAAGCUUCUUAUUUAAAAGAUCUUGCUAAGUUGCCUUCUCCUCUUGUUGUUAAUGAUGAUGCUUGUGCUACUAAUUCUAUUACUUGUGAAGCAUCUAUUUUGAAGGAGAAUGUUGAGCUACGGGCUCAACUUGAGGUGCUAUCUUGCAAUUAUGGGAAAUUGGAAGAAAUUCAUGAAAAGCUCUCAAGCUCUCAUGAUGAUCUUCUAGUAUCCCAUAGUGUGCUAAAGAUAGCUCAUGAGGCCAUGAUUGCUAAAGUAACAUCUAGUGAGCCUCAUGUGGAUACUAGCACUACUUCUAGUCAAAAUAGUAUAUUGCCAUGUGCUAGUCCUUGUAAUUCAUCUACUCACAAUGUUGGUACAUCUUGUGAUGAAUUGCUUUCCUUGCCUUGUUGCUCUAACGAUGAAGCUUAUACUUCCUCUAGUACUUGUGUUGAGACUAACCAUGUAGAGGAAAUCAAAGAGCUCAAGGCCCAAGUCACUUCUUUGAAGAAAGACUUGGAUAAGUGUCAUGAAGGGAAGGCCACACUCAACAAUAUCUUGAGUGUGCAAAAAUCCCCCAAUGACAAAGGUGGACUUGGAUUCAACUCCAACAAGAAGAAGAAGUCCAAGUUGAACAAGAAGAAGAGCCAAGAACAAGUCAAGAAUUCGGCCAAGAUUUUUUGCUUCAAGUGCAAAGUUGAAGGGCAUCAUGUUAGAUCUUUCCCAUUGAAGAAGAAGGCCAUUAGUGUCAAGCAACAAGGGAAGAGGGCACAAGUUCAAUCUCAUGCUCAACAUCAAGUUGAAGAAAGGCCUCUUCCCAAGAAGACUCAAGUUAAUGCUUCUCAAAUUGAGAAAUCAAGUGAGAAGAAAGUGAAGAGUAGACGUUGCUACCUAUGUCGUGAGAAAGGUCACGUCGCUUCUUCAUGCACUAGUGGUAACUUAUCCAACCCAAUUAUUAUUGAUGAUAUCUAUUCUCUUGGUAAGGAUAAGGUUGGCAAUGUGUUUGCCAAGUUUGUUGGUACUCAAAGUGGUGUCAAGUAAAGAACCAUUUGGGUAGCCAAACCUAUUGUGACUAACCUCUUAGGACCCAACUUAGUUGGGGACCAACAAGCUCAAACUUGAUCAAUAGGUGUUGUUGGAGGGCAUUGGAGACUUGGCUACAUUAUGAAGAAUUAAGGGGACUUCAUCAUUCUCUUUGUCUCAAGCCAAGUCAAUUGGAUUAUCAAGUUUCUAUCUUAUAUCCAAUGUGCCUCCUUGCGGUAACUUGUACUUAAAUUGUUUACCUUGAAAGUUACUUGCCCCCUUGCAUGUUUUGGUUUUGUUCCUUGCAUGUGUUUGUAUAUGUUGCGCUUCCAACUUGCUUAUCUUGAGCAAUCAAGUAUGUGUGUGUUGGUUUGCACAUCAUGUAUGUGUGCGUCGUGCGUUGAGCCUUUUUGCUUCCUAUUUGUAUCCUAGUUGGCUCGUGUGAGAGAUCAAUGGAACAUCCCAUUUUGGGGGAGUGAUGUGCUUUGUGCACCUCACAAUCCUAUAAAUGUGUGUACAUGAGGAAUACCAUCUAGUAUUGAUAUUACAAGAUUAUCUAGUCGCUAGGUGGUAUAUCUCUCAUGAGAAAUUCAAAUUCUAAAAAUUCCAUUGAUUAUCUCGUGUUGGAUCCUCUUAUUGCCUCUUGUUUAGUUCUUAUUGGUAUCACAUUAUGGGGGAGUAAUAUGCUAAGUGCAUAUUACAAGCCUAGAAAAUGUGUACAUUUGAGAUAUUGUCACCUAGAAUUGAUAUUGUAAAUUAUCUUGUUCCUAGGUGGCAUGUUAGCUCUACAAGUUGCAAUUUGCUUGUGUGUGGUGUGAAGAUGAUGUUGGAUAUCCUUGCUAUCUACCACCGGGAAUUCUUUCCAUCUACUUCUUGUCUUUUGACAAUUGGUAGUCACUUAUGUGUGGUAGAAUUUAAUUGAUCACCUUUACAUUGGCUUUUGUUUAUUUGCCUUUUUCUCUUGCCAAGGUUUGUGUUAACUCCCGUUUUCUUCCAUACCACUUAUGGAUCUUGUUUAUUUCUUGUUCUUGUCUAGUGUUUUCUAGAUAUAGUGAAAGCAGUGAUCCCACCUUGUGCAUUUUGUAUUCAAAUACAAAUCCUAUAUAAUGCACAACUCGUGGGGGAGCUAUUCUAUUUUCUUCACUCUUCUUGUGAUCCUUAUCAAGUGUGUUUUGGUGGAAGGCAAGCCAUUUCUUUUUGGUACUUUGUGCCAUCAUGAAACUUUGCUGAGAGCUUGGUAUGUUUGGAACCAUCCUCUCUUUGGGAGUUUGACAUCUUUAGUUUAGUGUGUAUCAAUCGAUAUCUCAUUCCUUGAUGUAUCUUUAAUGAUAUCUUCCAAGUGAUGAUUUCUCCAUUUGGUAUCCUUUUCACUUGGCAUUUAUUUGUCUUUUGGUUUCGGGUUUUGACAGUCUUGAGCAUGCAUGUUUACUUCAUGUAUUUCAUUUGGCAUGCUUUCUUUCUUUGACUCAAUAUAUAGGGGAAACUCCACCUAGUCUCAAUUUGGAUGAGAUGUGCAUGAAAUUCAUUUUAUUAUCUAUAUGCACAUAUUUAUGUGGAGUUUGUCAUAUGUAUUGGUGUUUCUAACUAUUUGGUCCCGAUGAGUUUGGGUACCGUUUAGUUUGUGUUGUUCUUCUAGGAACAUUUGGAGAUGCAUUGGAUGCUCGGCUCACUCACAAGGAAGGUGUUGUCACCAUGUGCAUAUUGGAGUCAAGCUAGGAUGAUCAAUGAACUACUAUCUACCUUCAAUUGGUAUCUACUACAUCCUUCCAAUGAUAUCUCGGUAACAAGUAUCUAUUCAUGCUUUCUCCUCUUGCAUUCAACCUUGUGUAGGUUGCAUCUUGGCAUGAUUUUCAUUUCAUAUCUUGUGAUACUUUUUUCCUCUCUCAAAGCAUCCCAACGAUGAUCUCUUGUUGCUAGUUGUGAUGCCUUUGAUGGAUGUGUGUUUGGACUUCAUUUAUAUACAAUAAGACCAUAUCUAGCCAAGUGCUAUGCUUUCAAGCAAAUAUCUUAUUGGUAUAUUUAUGACUUCCUUGUGGAUAUCUUGUUCCUUCGUGUUGGAACUAUUUCGGGUGUACAUUCUUCUUUGUAGAUAUAUCGUCUACAUAGAACCUUAUACACUUGAGAGAAAUUACAUCUCUAGUUGAUAUCCUAUCUUUCAUGUCCACCUUGUCUUUCUUAUGUUAUUUCUUUGGUGGCUCCGUGAAAACUUUUGCCUUGAGUGCGUGUCCUCUAUCGUCGCAUCUUGAUGCACUCUUGUGUGGUGAAGAUUAUUUUCCUCAUGCUUAUCGUUACGAGGCUUUUGCCAUCUUGGCAUCCCUCGUCUUGAUGAGGCUUUCAUCUUCUAUCUUCACCACGGGUUGUCACAAGCAUAAGUUCUUUAUAUGCUUAUUAGUAAGCUUGUGAACCCAUUUGCUAGUUGUGUGUGGGAAUGACAGGCCUUGCACCGUGUGCCUCAUUCUUUCAAGACUAUGUUGAUGCUUAAUGCUCAUCCUAAUUUUAGUCUUCUCAAGUGCUUCGCCAUGACUCACACACAUCAUUUUGGUUGAUCCUAUUCUUAAGUUGCCUCUUUUACAUGUUGCUCAACCAUGUGCUUGUUGCAAGCGCUAGGCUUUGUUUCCUAUAUGCUCACUUGCACUGGAUGUGAGUUUCUAUUGAUUUUGGGGGAGCUAUGAUCCUAUUUUGUGCACUUUGUAUUCAAAUACAAAAAUUCUUAUGUGUGCACAAAUCAUGGGGAGCUUCUCUAGUUUCUUUAGAACACUCCUUUGUGCUUUUCAUAAUAUCCUUCAUUCAUGUGGCUCAUAGGAUCUUUGGUCUAGUUUGUUCAAUUGAUAUCCUUUGAUUGCUUGCUUCAAUUGGUAUCUUUUGAUUGUUUGAUUGCUUGUUUCUCUCUUUGUUAUGUCUUUGUGGCAUAUCAUUCUUUUGCAAUCUUUGGGCCUCAAUAUAGUUUGUGUUCCUCCAAGUAUUAACCGUUGGAUAUGUGUAUUGCAUUCCACUCUCUUGUUGAGAAAUACACAAUUUAUGGAGGACCACAAUUUAUAUUGGUCUUCUUAGCUUUUCGCCCAUUUUGGCAAUCGAUGCCAAUGGGGAAGAAGUUUCAGAGAGUUUUGUGGAGAAGUUUAGAGAGUUAUCUCCUCUUUCUUUGGUUUUGUUCCUUAGCAUUUGCAUCUCAUACGCAUGCACUCUUAGUUGUUGCAUUGCAUGGUGAUGCAUAAUUCCUUAUAUAAACUCUCUUGAAAGUGAUUGUCAUCAAUUACCAAAAUGGGGGAGAUUGAAAGAACAUGCGGUGCCCCCAUGUUUGGUUUUGGUAAUUGAUGACAAUCUCUAUGGACUAAUGGUUGUCUUGAGUUGUAUUUUAAGGAUUUGUCCAUAGGCUUUUCUUGAAGUCCAUGUGUUGGUUUCAAGGAGUUUUUGAGUUGACCAAGGUGCUAUUAAGGAAUUAUCCAAAGAUUGGUCAUGCGAGUGUUGAGCUUAUUGCAAGCAUGUCUUGAAGAAGAAGGUUGUGUGAUCAUUCAUGUUUACCUUCAAGAAAUCAUCCAAAUGAAGAGAGUUGCAAAGAUUCAAGGUUGAUCAAGACUAAGUCAAGAGUGAAUCAAGUUGAUCAACUCACAAAGCAUAGAAGAUGUACCAAGAGGGAUCAAGUGAUCCCAUGGUAUGGUAAGCAUUGUCCAUUACACUUUAUGUACUAACCCAUGGUCUAUGUGAGAGUUGUAUGUGGGGUUAGGUACGUAUCCAUGGGCUUGCGUCAAGAGCAAGAUAUCAUACAACCCAUGGAAAGGAUGACAUCAAGUGGUGAUCGUCAUCAAGAUUGCCGUGUGCAAGUUCAAGUGGAGCAUCAUGAAGAGAUCAAGUGCUUUAAUCUUUCCAUCCAUUGUGGUGUCAAUGGACUUGUGAAUAUGUGCCGAAGAGUGGCUCACCCAUAGUGAACUAUGGGGGAGCAAUCAUCUAGUCUUCAUCGAGCCAACGCAAUCAAGAAAGGUGGUCCAACUUGAGGGAGUCAAGAUCGUCUUCAUCUAGCUCAAGUGGACCAUAUGCAAGGCAAAGGUUUUCCCUUGAUAGGUUUUCUAUUUUACCGGUCUUGUGGUGGUAGUUGGGAGACCGAGUUAUAGGAUCGUUUGCCGUACUAUCAAGGGGGGCUCUGAAGUUGGUAGCUUGAUCGUAUCGUUAGUAGAGAGCUCAAACCAUUGCAUCCUUGCAUCAUGUUUCUUGGUUCUUGUUUGGUUCUCUUUGUGAGUCUUAGAGCUUAUGGUCAUCUUGAUGACAAGCUUGAGUUCAUCAAAAACGGAGUUCACAUGCAUCUUCUAUGAUGUUUUCGGUGUUGGAGGUUUUACCGGUCUUUUCCGAGGAAGGGUUCUCACUAUUUUCCUUUGGGACUUUUCUCAUUUGCUUAUUCUUGAUAUUUCUAUCAAGAUUGUGUUAGCCCAUGUCGUUAGCUUUCCAACAAACUUGGUUUCGUUGAAUUCGGAGUCCGUUUUCAAAAGUUGUGGCUGUUUUGGUAAAGGCUGCAGCGGUACUACCGCGACUAGAGCGGAUGUAAUUUUUUACUACCGCUCCAGAGCAGUACUACCGCGGCUCCUGAGCGGUAGUACCGCCCCAGAGCAGUACUACCGCGGCUCCUAAGCGGUAGUACCUCUCCGGACCAAAAUCUCGUGUUUUGCUCAGCGGAAGUAGGCACAAAAGUAUUUUUUUAGUACCGCUCGCAAGCAGUAGUACCGCUACCAUUUGUGGUAGUACCUUGAGGUCGAGCGGUAGUACCGUGAGGACGAGCGGUACUACCGCUUCGAAGGUUCUUUUGGCCUUUUUGCCUCCUCGCUGUUGUGUUUCGAAGGGGUACUACCGCCCUAGCGGUAGUAUCGCUCCUUGGAGCGGUAGUACCGCUCUGUGCGGGCUGUGAGCAUAACGGUUGGAUUCAGGAGCUCCUAUAAAAGGGGGUCUUCUUCCCCAUUCAACCUUAUCCUUUGAGCUCGUGUUCUUCCCCCAUUGUUGACCUUCUUCGAGCUUGCUAACUCUCAAUCCCUCCAUGGAUUCUUGCUAGUUUUUGAGGGAAAAGAGAGAGGAGAUCUAGAUCCACAUUUCCACCAAUCACUUUCUCCUCUAUGUGAGGGGAACCCCUUGGAUCUAGUUCUUGGAGUUCUUGGUGUUCUCCUUCUUGUUCUUCCUCUCAUUUUCCUCCCUAGCAUUAGUUGCUUCGGUGGGAUUUGAGAGAGAAGGACUUGGGCACUCCGAGUGCCCUUGCCAUUGCAUUUGGUGCAUCGGUUUGAGUUCUCCACGGUGAUACGUGGAAGUUACAAGUUGAGAAGCUUAUUACUCUUGGGUGCUUGGUGCCAUUGAGCUUGUUCCUCUUGGGUGCUUGGGCGCCCUAGAUGGUUGGUGGUGUUCGGAGCUCAAUCAUUGUGGUGUAAAGCUCCGGGCAAGUGUCGGGGUCUCGAAUUAGGUUGUGGAGAUCUCCCCGAGCAAUUUGACGGGUACCGGUGACCGCCCCCAAGGGUUGCCAAAGUGUACGGGUUCGGUGACCGCCCCCAAGAGUCGCCAUUUGUACGGGUUCGGUGACCGCCCUCAAGGGUCCCUUAGUGGAAUCACGACAUCUUGCAUUGUGCGAGGGCGUGAGGAGAUUACGGUGGCCCUAGUGGCUUCUUGGGGAGCAUUGUGCCUCCACACCGCUCCAAACGGAGAUUAGCAUCCGCAAGGGUGUGAACUUCGGAAUACAUCAUCGUCUCUGCGUGCCUCGGUUAUCUCUUACCCGAGCCCCUUUACUUAUGCACUUUACUUUGUGAUAGCCAUAUUGUUCUUUGUCAUAUAUCUUGCUAUCACAUAGUUGCUUAUCUUGCUUAGCAUAAGUUGUUGGUGCACAUAGGUGAGCCUAGUUGUUGUAGGUUUUGUGCUUGACAAAUUAACGCUAGGUUUAUUCCGCAUUUGUUCAAGCCUAAACCGUAAUUAUUUUAAAGCGCCUAUUCACACCCCCCUCUAGGAGACAUCCUCGAUCUUUCAGGAGGAAAGGGAAAAGGGAGUAGGAUUCCCUCUUCCCCCUCUUCCCUUUGUACUCCGAGUAGGAAUAGGAGAGGGGAGUUGGCCGAAUUGGGAGAGGACCCCAAGUAGGAUUCCUCCUACUUGGGGCGCCCCCUUGGUUGCCUCUCCUCCCCUCCAACAUAUAUAUAUGUCGGGAGGGGGCGCCUACAACAUAGAACAACAAGUGUGAGCCGUGUGCGCCCCCCCCCCCCUCCACAGUUUACACCCCCAGUCAUAUUGUCGCGGUGCUUAGGCGAAGCCCUGCACGGAACACUUCACCAUCACCGUCACCAUGUCAUCAUGCUGAUGGAACUCAUGUACUUCCUCGACACCUUGUUGGAUCAAGAAGGCGAGGAACGUCAUCGAGCUAAACGUGUGCAGAACUCGGAGGUGUCGUACGUUCGGUACUUGAUCGGUCGGAGCUAGAAGAAGUUCGACUACAUCAACCGUGUUGUCAAACGCUUCCUUUUUCGGUCUAUGAGGGUACGUAGACACACUCUCCCCCUCUUCGUUGCUAUGCAUCUCCUAGAUAGAUUUUGCAUGAGCGUAGGAAUUUUUUUGAAAUUGCAUGCUAUGUUCCCCAACAAUAAAGGCAUAUAAGUAACAUUUCCUCCCCAUGGCCACACAGAUAACCCCAUCACAUGCCUUUUUAGUUAUGCAUAUGAAGGUAGGAUGUUUUUAAUUACUCUACACCAAAAUACCCUUAACUUGGGUUGUACCUUAAGCUUUCGCCUUUUCAGUUUUUCUUCCCCAUUAGAUGAACUAGACAGUCCAGCUACCACACCAUACUUUGUCUCCAUCACGGCUCUGUACAACAAUUGAACAGAAGAAAUGCCAUUUCUACCAUACCGACGACCAAAUGUCCUCUGCUGCGUUGUUUGGUCAUGGCAUAUUAAGGAUGGCCACUUCACCUGAUGGGAUAAACACCUAAUGAAUGAAAGGAGUGUUCCAGUCGCCCUGGAGUUUCUCACAUCUAUCAUAGUGGUUUCAUCAGCGGUGUGCCCUGCACCCAUUUAUCAUGCCAUAUCUCUGCAGUAUGUGCAUUCCCAAUUUGUCACAUCAUACCCUCCUUCAAACCUUCUCGCCCUUUCAAAAUAGCAUGCUAACUUAGCGAUGCACUAUGCGGGAACCCGCAUUUGAAAAAAAUAGAAUCUCAUUUCCUGGUAUCUUCCAUGAAGGACCCUCGUAAAUGAGCUAUCCAGAUAGAAAUAGUCAUGCAUGUUUAGCCAACUUUGCAUAAGUGAAUAGAUCAACGUCGUGGAACCCCAAGCCUCCAAUUACACCCGGCCUCUUUACCAGCAAGAUGUCCAAAGACAUCAAGGAUACACACAACCAAAAAAGAAAGAAAAAACAGAAGAAAAAAAUAUCCCUCCUUGAUGAUCAAUCACUAGCAUCAGUAGCACUCUAACCACCACUGAAGACAACGCCCGUAUUACAAAAAAGGUUCUCCAAAAGCAACGCCCCCAAGAAGGAAACAAUGCAUAAGCGUUGUCGUUGCCCGAUCAAAGAUCGUGGGUUUUCACCCUGGAAAAAUUCUGGGUUCACCCAAAACAAUGCCUUCAACAAUGCAUAUAGUCGUCAUCACAUCCAAUACACCCUUCCACCAAAGCUUCAAGACCUCCAAUUGCAGCCACCAUGACUUUCUCCACGUCUAUCAAUGCCUUGAGAAUCUUGACUUAGACAUGCCCCAUGACAUCAAUAAGAAAUCGAAGCUUCAUGCCUCGCCCUCUUGAGGCCCUUUUGGCUGAUAAUAUUAGCGCAUGCGACCGGAGCCUUUCUGAUCGAGAUAUCCACGGACGACAUACACCAAUCCAUAUAGAUCUCUGACCGGAAAGACCGGAACUCGUCAACAGCCAGAUCCAAGAAGUCGACAUCUGGCAGAAAGACGACUUGGCGGAAGAAGAGCAUCAGGGCCAAACCACCAUUAUUAGUCCAAAGCUAAUAGCCCCCAUGCCGCCCUCCUCUCGAUCCAGACCUGCAGAAAAAGAUCAACGACGCCGCAUCGUGCCACCUGCAUCCGUGGAGGCCUGAACUUGGCAAGACGCCAACCAUGGCUGGAGAUGGGGACCAGCCACUCCUGGCCAGAUCCGGUGACUCCUAGUGGAAGGAACGGUUGACUUGGCGCUAGAGGUUCCACGGACAUACUUAUCUGGCGAGCAUCUGAUUGAUAUGCAAAUUUUAGUUGCUUAACCGGAUCAAUGACCUCAACAGAACAUUGACUCCGCUCCCUGGAUCAACAGUUGUGCAACUCAAUUGCUGGCAAUUGCUCAACUUCAGUUAUGGAAUGCGCUGAGAGAAGCGGACGACCGCCAAUGUUCGGCACAGCAAGUUGCUUUGACAUGAGCCACAAUGUAGAUUUGAAGCAACAAGACUGCCAUUUUCUUUGCUGCUGCAAGUAGUCUGAUCACAAUGUAGAUUUGAAGUAACCAGCUGAAAUGUUUAUGUGCUUUCUUUGCUAAUUGGGUGUACCGUGUAUGACUGAAUAUUGACCUGAAAGCUUCAGUGUCUCCUCUUUUCAGAACCAAGUGCAGCUCUUGGAUGGCGUCUACCUCAGCACGCACAUUUUGCUACCCUCGUAUAUAGUGCAGAAGUAGAAGCACUUACACACCUUUGCUACCUACAGACAACCGGAAUCCUGUUAGUCUAAGUCCUGAGAGUUUGUCACCCAUCUUCAAGGCAAGUUUAUGCUGCGCUGCUGUUAUCUUAUCGUUUCAUACAUCUAUGAAUGGUGUAUGGGGAACAAUUUUCGUGUUCGAUCCAGAUAGCUUGAUCAUGCAUGCAUGUGCAUCAGCGUUACACGAUGACUGUCCUCGCCAUGCUGCUACAGCCGUGUCUUCAUUGUUAGUGGUAAACUCACCUGCACCCCCAGGGCGGUCGGUGAUUGCUGGUGUAAGGAAUCACUUAUUUAAUCAGCAUGUUGUUCCAGGCUGUGCUAUCUGCUUCUGCUUACAUCCUUUGUGGCGCUCCUAUACAAUGUAAGAGGGGGUAAGAAAGAGAUCAAAAUAUAUUACCAAAGUCUAUACAUCUACCAUGCUUUGAUGAGGCAAAAUAUUUCCAUUUUACAGGAGAUGCCUUUUGGUGUUGAUGUGUUAACAUUAAGACAUGCCAUCUCAGAAAUCUAUAAUGCUCAAUCCAAUAUUUAUCUCCUAGUAUUAAAUACAAAAUAAAAUUAUGUUGAAGAUACCAUCAUACUCAUUUUUUCAUUUGCGAAUAUGGGUUAUUGUUUGUUACUAAGAACAUUUAGAUUUCAUUUUUCCACUUGACCUACCCAUCAUGAUCAGUUCCAUGAUUUUAUCAGAAAUGCAAGCUUUAUCAUCUGAAUAAAUGUGUAUAUAUAUACCUAAAUACUAACUGAACAUAUGAAGCCACCAUUUGCAACGAUGAAUCUGGCUAGUUGAUUUAUGUGCAAGUACAACCAUCAACCAUGUGGCUUCCACCUGGCGUGUCCCAUGCAUGAUAAGUGAGAUCCAUAAAAUAAGGCUAAUCAUGAAUCUUAUGGUAGGUGUAAUGCAACCGAUAACCUACCAGUUUUAUGGUAGGUCUAACAUCAUUGUUGCUAUCAUUAGCACAAAAAAAGUAACCUGUAACACAAACCUAAUUAACAGAACCUAACGAAUACAUGAUGGAUUGAAAUCAUACACAUUUCCUUUUGUCAUGCCAAUAUUCAUCACAAAGCCCCAAGAGAAUAUUAUCAAUAUCGCAAAAUCUGAGAUCGAUCAAAACUUUGGUCUUUGUUUCUAUAAUUUCUGUACAUUUGUACUGUAUGCUAUACACAUGGGAAUGUAUACUAUACACAUGGGAAAACUGUAUCAAGAUCGGCUCAUCCUCAAAAAGGCGGAUGCCAAUCGCAGGGAGUAGAGUGAUGUGGAGUAUUUAUGAGGUAAGAAUGUUUAAUAGAGAAACUCUGUUCUGGACUAAUUUCCUGAACAGAAUUCCUGCUCCAUCCUGAAGAUCUCCGAUGCUGCACUCUAACUCCUGCAAUUGUCCCUCCUCGCAAACAACGGCCUUCUUCUUGUAAAAUGCCUUGCAGACAAGAGACUGCUUUGGCAUUUCAAUUUGCUUCGACAAGAGAUGUAGUGUGGACUCCAACAGAGAGAUGCAGAUCUCUCUUGCGUUGGUCAAUAGCAUGACCAUCUUGUCGGAUGCAGCCUUCUUGGAAGUCUUCUUGAAAUGUUUCCUGGCCUUCUUCGCCAAGCGAGUAAAAGAUUGGAUCUUGGCUUGAACAGCUGCAUCAUCUCCUUUUCUUAGAGUCACUUGCAGCUCUUGGAUGAUGACCACCAUCUCGGCAAAGGUCUCCUGCACGGUGCUGCAGAGAUCUAAGAGCUCAACGGAGCAUCCCAUCUCUCCAUCCAACAUCUUCCUCUGCUGGGAGGAGCAAGCUUGGUGGCUUGGUAGGCAAAUAAUCUCUUCAAGGCCAUCGUAGAUGUUUGCAAGACUCCUGAGACCAUCGCACAUAGUGCUGAUGGAAUUGGAGGAAGAGAUGCUUGCUUCUAGGCUGUGGAGCUCUUGCUCGACUUGGGUCUCACUAACGUGAGGCCUAGAAGGCAAACUUGUCGAUCUUUGGUGGAAAGCCAUAUCUGAGCUUGAAGCUUUUCUCUGUAUUGUGGUUGAAGAGAGGAGGAGCAGAAAAGAAUACUUCUUGGUUUGAUGUGUCUACUGCUCUGCUCAGGCCUAUUUAUACAUAAAUGUACAAGCAGUAGCAUAUGAUUGUUAGACAUGAAGAAUCAUGCCAUUACAUCUCCCAGAUGCUGCCUGCUAUACCUUGAGAUCUGUGAGGAGCAUAGAAAUCUCAACACUAAAGUCGUCUCAUGUUUAGUACAUUGUUUUGUGCUACUGUCCAAACAAUUGGCAGCAAGAACCAGCAGCGUGGUUUCGUCUGAUGGUGGAUCCUUCUUGCAUGCUCAGGCCAUUAUUUUAUGGGUUGCUAACCUAGCAUUUAGCUGUGACAUACCUUGGUGGGCACAUUUGGAAAUCACAGGUCAAAGCCUCGAGGUCGGAGGUGGCAUGUUUAGGCCAUGGGAGCAAGAUCCACUGCACGAGAUCCAUGUUAGGGGUUCAGCAUAUUAUCAUCAGGCUGUCAUGUCUGAAUUAUUAGCAACAAACUCAUCUGCACGAGCGUGUAGUUUGGUUUCAGAUCAAGAUCAUGAGAUCGAUGAGUGUAGUGAAACGACGAGAGACAAGGAGCAGCUGGCUUAGCUUUGGAGGUUCCAGGGACAUGUUUAUCUGGUGGCAUCUGCUUGAUAUGCAAAUUUCAGUUGCUUCUGCAACUGGUAUUCUAUUAAUUAUAGGGAGCGAUACCCCCAGUAUAUUAUUACAAGGAGCAUGUGUUUGAGGCACAUUUCAUGUGAAUUACAUAACGACCUCAUAGUUCUCAAACAGAAAAAAAAACAUAACAACCUCAUGCCUUCGAGUUAGCGGGCUAGCGUGUCUGAACUAUGUNNNNNNNNNNNNNNNNNNNNNNNNNNNNNNNNNNNNNNNNNNNNNNNNNNNNNNNNNNNNNNNNNNNNNNNNNNNNNNNNNNNNNNNNNNNNNNNNNNNNNNNNNNNNNNNNNNNNNNNNNNNNNNNNNNNNNNNNNNNNNNNNNNNNNNNNNNNNNNNNNNNNNNNNNNNNNNNNNNNNNNNNNNNNNNNNNNNNNNNNNNNNNNNNNNNNNNNNNNNNNNNNNNNNNNNNNNNNNNNNNNNNNNNNNNNNNNNNNNNNNNNNNNNNNNNNNNNNNNNNNNNNNCAUUUUAUACAUAGAUCCUGUAAACACCGGAUGCCAAUCACAGGGUAUUGGAUCUAAGUAUGUACCUAACUAGCUAUAUGCUAUGAGUAUUCAGCAGAAAAACUCUGUUCUAGAUCAAUUUCUUGAACAGAACGUCAACUCCGCUCCCCGGAUCAACAAUGUCUGACUCAAGUGCCCGCAAUUGCUACUCUUCAGCUACGGAAUGCGUUGAGAAAAGUGAACACCCGCCAAUGUUUCGGACGACAAGUUGCUUUGACAAGAGCCACUGUGUAGAUUUGAAGCAACAAGACUGUAAUUUUCUUUGCUGUUACAAGUAGCCUGAUCACCCUUCGGUCCUCAGUAACAGGUGUAACCGUCUUCCCGAUCUACCUGAACUGUUUAUGUGCUUUCUUUGCUAAUUGGGUGUACCGUGUAUGACUGAAUAUUGACCUGAAAGCUUCAGUGUCUCCUCUUUUCAGAACCAAGUGCAGCUCUUGGAUGGCGUCUACCUCAGCACGCACAUUUUGCUACCCUCNNNNNNNNNNNNNNNNNNNNNNNNNNNNNNNNNNNNNNNNNNNNNNNNNNNNNNNNNNNNNNNNNNNNNNNNNNNNNNNNNNNNNNNNNNNNNNNNNNNNNNNNNNNNNNNNNNNNNNNNNNNNNNNNNNNNNNNNNNNNNNNNNNNNNNNNNNNNNNNNNNNNNNNNNNNNNNNNNNNNNNNNNNNNNNNNNNNNNNNNNNNNNNNNNNNNNNNNNNNNNNNNNNNNNNNNNNNNNNNNNNNNNNNNNNNNNNNNNNCUGCUGUUAUCUUAUCGUUUCAUACAUCUAUGAAUGGUGUAUGGGGAACAAUUUUCGUGUUCGAUCCAGAUAGCUUGAUCAUGCAUGCAUGUGCAUCAGCGUUACACGAUGACUGUCCUCGCCAUGCUGCUACAGCCGUGUCUUCAUUGUUAGUGGUAAACUCACCUGCACCCCCAGGGCGGUCGGUGAUUGCUGGUGUAAGGAAUCACUUAUUUAAUCAGCACGUUGUUCCAGGCUGUGCUAUCUGCUUCUGCUUACAUCCUUUGUGGCGCUCCUAUACAAUGUAAGAGGGGGUAAGAAAGAGAUCAAAAUAUAUUACCAAAGUCUAUAUAUCUACCAUGCUUUGAUGAGGCAAAAUAUUUCCAUUUUACAGGAGAUGCCUUUUGGUGUUGAUGUGUUAACAUUAAGACAUGCCAUCUCAGAAAUCUAUAAUGCUCAAUCCAAUAUUUAUCUCCUAGUAUUAAAUANNNNNNNNNNNNNNNNNNNNNNNNNNNNNNNNNNNNNNNNNNNNNNNNNNNNNNNNNNNNNNNNNNNNNNNNNNNNNNNNNNNNNNNNNNNNNNNNNNNNNNNNNNNNNNNNNNNNNNNNNNNNNNNNNNNNNNNNNNNNNNNNNNNNNNNNNNNNNNNNNNNNNNNNNNNNNNNNNNNNNNNNNNNNNNNNNNNNNNNNNNNNNNNNNNNNNNNNNNNNNNNNNNNNNNNNNNNNNNNNNNNNNNNNNNNNNNNNNNNNNNNNNNNNNNNNNNNNNNNNNNNNNNNNAAAAUAAAAUUAUGUUGAAGAUACCAUCAUACUCAUUUUUUCAUUUGCGAAUAUGGGUUAUUGUUUGUUACUAAGAACAUUUAGAUUUCAUUUUUCCACUUGACCUACCCAUCAUGAUCAGUUCCAUGAUUUUAUCAGAAAUGCAAGCUUUAUCAUCUGAAUAAAUGUGUAUAUAUAUACCUAAAUACUAACUGAACAUAUGAAGCCACCAUUUGCAACGAUGAAUCUGGCUAGUUGAUUUAUGUGCAAGUACAACCAUCAACCAUGUGGCUUCCACCUGGCGUGUCCCAUGCAUGAUAAGUGAGAUCCAUAAAAUAAGGCUAAUCAUGAAUCUUAUGGUAGGUGUAAUGCAACCGAUAACCUACCAGUUUUAUGGUAGGUCUAACAUCAUUGUUGCUAUCAUUAGCACAAAAAANNNNNNNNNNNNNNNNNNNNNNNNNNNNNNNNNNNNNNNNNNNNNNNNNNNNNNNNNNNNNNNNNNNNNNNNNNNNNNNNNNNNNNNNNNNNNNNNNNNNNNNNNNNNNNNNNNNNNNNNNNNNNNNNNNNNNNNNNNNNNNNNNNNNNNNNNNNNNNNNNNNNNNNNNNNNNNNNNNNNNNNNNNNNNNNNNNNNNNNNNNNNNNNNNNNNNNNNNNNNNNNNNNNNNNNNNNNNNNNNNNNNNNNNNNNNNNNNNNNNNNNNNNNNNNNNNNNNNNNNNNNNNNNNNNNNNNNNNNNNNNNNNNNNNNNNNNNNNNNNNNNNNNNNNNNNNNNNNNNNNNNNNNNNNNNNNNNNNNNNNNNNNNNNNNNNNNNNNNNNNNNNNNNNNNNNNNNNNNNNNNNNNNNNNNNNNNNNNNNNNNNNNNNNNNNNNNNNNNNNNNNNNNNNNNNNNNNNNNNNNNNNNNNNNNNNNNNNNNNNNNNNNNNNNNNNNNNNNNNNNNNNNNNNNNNNNNNNNNNNNNNNNNNNNNNNNNNNNNNNNNNNNNNNNNNNNNNNNNNNNNNNNNNNNNNNNNNNNNNNNNNNNNNNNNNNNNNNNNNNNNNNNNNNNNNNNNNNNNNNNNNNNNNNNNNNNNNNNNNNNNNNNNNNNNNNNNNNNNNNNNNNNNNNNNNNNNNNNNNNNNNNNNNNNNNNNNNNNNNNNNNNNNNNNNNNNNNNNNNNNNNNNNNNNNNNNNNNNNNNNNNNNNNNNNNNNNNNNNNNNNUAAGAAUGUUUAAUAGAGAAACUCUGUUCUGGACUAAUUUCCUGAACAGAAUUCCUGCUCCAUCCUGAAGAUCUCCGAUGCUGCACUCUAACUCCUGCAAUUGUCCCUCCUCGCAAACAACGGCCUUCUUCUUGUAAAAUGCCUUGCAGACAAGAGACUGCUUUGGCAUUUCAAUUUGCUUCGACAAGAGAUGUAGUGUGGACUCCAACAGAGAGAUGCAGAUCUCUCUUGCGUUGGUCAAUAGCAUGACCAUCUUGUCGGAUGCAGCCUUCUUGGAAGUCUUCUUGAAAUGUUUCCUGGCCUUCUUCGCCAAGCGAGUAAAAGAUUGGAUCUUGGCUUGAACAGCUGCAUCAUCUCCUUUUCUUAGAGUCACUUGCAGCUCUUGGAUGAUGACCACCAUCUCGGCAAAGGUCUCCUGCACGGUGCUGCAGAGAUCUAAGAGCUCAACGGAGCAUCCCAUCUCUCCAUCCAACAUCUUCCUCUGCUGGGAGGAGCAAGCUUGGUGGCUUGGUAGGCAAAUAAUCUCUUCAAGGCCAUCGUAGAUGUUUGCAAGACUCCUGAGACCAUCGCACAUAGUGCUGAUGGAAUUGGAGGAAGAGAUGCUUGCUUCUAGGCUGUGGAGCUCUUGCUCGACUUGGGUCUCACUAACGUGAGGCCUAGAAGGCAAACUUGUCGAUCUUUGGUGGAAAGCCAUAUCUGAGCUUGAAGCUUUUCUCUGUAUUGUGGUUGAAGAGAGGAGGAGCAGAAAAGAAUACUUCUUGGUUUGAUGUGUCUACUGCUCUGCUCAGGCCUAUUUAUACAUAAAUGUACAAGCAGUAGCAUAUGAUUGUUAGACAUGAAGAAUCAUGCCAUUACAUCUCCCAGAUGCUGCCUGCUAUACCUUGAGAUCUGUGAGGAGCAUAGAAAUCUCAACACUAAAGUCGUCUCAUGUUUAGUACAUUGUUUUGUGCUACUGUCCAAACAAUUGGCAGCAAGAACCAGCAGCGUGGUUUCGUCUGAUGGUGGAUCCUUCUUGCAUGCUCAGGCCAUUAUUUUAUGGGUUGCUAACCUAGCAUUUAGCUGUGACAUACCUUGGUGGGCACAUUUGGAAAUCACAGGUCAAAGCCUCGAGGUCGGAGGUGGCAUGUUUAGGCCAUGGGAGCAAGAUCCACUGCACGAGAUCCAUGUUAGGGGUUCAGCAUAUUAUCAUCAGGCUGUCAUGUCUGAAUUAUUAGCAACAAACUCAUCUGCACGAGCGUGUAGUUUGGUUUCAGAUCAAGAUCAUGAGAUCGAUGAGUGUAGUGAAACGACGAGAGACAAGGAGCAGCUGGCUUAGCUUUGGAGGUUCCAGGGACAUGUUUAUCUGGUGGCAUCUGCUUGAUAUGCAAAUUUCAGUUGCUUCUGCAACUGGUAUUCUAUUAAUUAUAGGGAGCGAUACCCCCAGUAUAUUAUUACAAGGAGCAUGUGUUUGAGGCACAUUUCAUGUGAAUUACAUAACGACCUCAUAGUUCUCAAACAGAAAAAAAAACAUAACAACCUCAUGCCUUCGAGUUAGCGGGCUAGCGUGUCUGAACUAUGUCUGUAAACCAAUGAACUGAACAGCAUCAGAGUUGAGUAAUUUUUUCAUUUUAUACAUAGAUCCUGUAAACACCGGAUGCCAAUCACAGGGUAUUGGAUCUAAGUAUGUACCUAACUAGCUAUAUGCUAUGAGUAUUCAGCAGAAAAACUCUGUUCUAGAUCAAUUUCUUGAACAGAACGUCAACUCCGCUCCCCGGAUCAACAAUGUCUGACUCAAGUGCCCGCAAUUGCUACUCUUCAGCUACGGAAUGCGUUGAGAAAAGUGAACACCCGCCAAUGUUUCGGACGACAAGUUGCUUUGACAAGAGCCACUGUGUAGAUUUGAAGCAACAAGACUGUAAUUUUCUUUGCUGUUACAAGUAGCCUGAUCACCCUUCGGUCCUCAGUAACAGGUGUAACCGUCUUCCCGAUCUACCUGAACUGUUUAUGUGCUUUCUUUGCUAAUUGGGUGUACCGUGUAUGACUGAAUAUUGACCUGAAAGCUUCAGUGUCUCCUCUUUUCAGAACCAAGUGCAGCUCUUGGAUGGCGUCUACCUCAGCACGCACAUUUUGCUACCCUCGUAUAUAGUGCAGAAGUAGAAGCACUUACACACCUUUGCUACCUACAGACAACCGGAAUCCUGUUAGUCUAAGUCCUGAGAGUUUGUCACCCAUCUUCAAGGCAAGUUUAUGCUGCACUGCUGUUAUCUUAUCGUUUCAUACAUCUAUGAAUGGUGUAUGGGGAACAAUUUUCGUGUUCGAUCCAGAUAGCUUGAUCAUGCAUGCAUGUGCAUCAGCGUUACACGAUGACUGUCCUCGCCAUGCUGCUACAGCCGUGUCUUCAUUGUUAGUGGUAAACUCACCUGCACCCCCAGGGCGGUCGGUGAUUGCUGGUGUAAGGAAUCACUUAUUUAAUCAGCACGUUGUUCCAGGCUGUGCUAUCUGCUUCUGCUUACAUCCUUUGUGGCGCUCCUAUACAAUGUAAGAGGGGGUAAGAAAGAGAUCAAAAUAUAUUACCAAAGUCUAUAUAUCUACCAUGCUUUGAUGAGGCAAAAUAUUUCCAUUUUACAGGAGAUGCCUUUUGGUGUUGAUGUGUUAACAUUAAGACAUGCCAUCUCAGAAAUCUAUAAUGCUCAAUCCAAUAUUUAUCUCCUAGUAUUAAAUACAAAAUAAAAUUAUGUUGAAGAUACCAUCAUACUCAUUUUUUCAUUUGCGAAUAUGGGUUAUUGUUUGUUACUAAGAACAUUUAGAUUUCAUUUUUCCACUUGACCUACCCAUCAUGAUCAGUUCCAUGAUUUUAUCAGAAAUGCAAGCUUUAUCAUCUGAAUAAAUGUGUAUAUAUAUACCUAAAUACUAACUGAACAUAUGAAGCCACCAUUUGCAACGAUGAAUCUGGCUAGUUGAUUUAUGUGCAAGUACAACCAUCAACCAUGUGGCUUCCACCUGGCGUGUCCCAUGCAUGAUAAGUGAGAUCCAUAAAAUAAGGCUAAUCAUGAAUCUUAUGGUAGGUGUAAUGCAACCGAUAACCUACCAGUUUUAUGGUAGGUCUAACAUCAUUGUUGCUAUCAUUAGCACAAAAAANNNNNNNNNNNNNNNNNNNNNNNNNNNNNNNNNNNNNNNNNNNNNNNNNNNNNNNNNNNNNNNNNNNNNNNNNNNNNNNNNNNNNNNNNNNNNNNNNNNNNNNNNNNNNNNNNNNNNNNNNNNNNNNNNNNNNNNNNNNNNNNNNNNNNNNNNNNNNNNNNNNNNNNNNNNNNNNNNNNNNNNNNNNNNNNNNNNNNNNNNNNNNNNNNNNNNNNNNNNNNNNNNNNNNNNNNNNNNNNNNNNNNNNNNNNNNNNNNNNNNNNNNNNNNNNNNNNNNNNNNNNNNNNNNNNNNNNNNNNNNNNNNNNNNNNNNNNNNNNNNNNNNNNNNNNNNNNNNNNNNNNNNNNNNNNNNNNNNNNNNNNNNNNNNNNNNNNNNNNNNNNNNNNNNNNNNNNNNNNNNNNNNNNNNNNNNNNNNNNNNNNNNNNNNNNNNNNNNNNNNNNNNNNNNNNNNNNNNNNNNNNNNNNNNNNNNNNNNNNNNNNNNNNNNNNNNNNNNNNNNNNNNNNNNNNNNNNNNNNNNNNNNNNNNNNNNNNNNNNNNNNNNNNNNNNNNNNNNNNNNNNNNNNNNNNNNNNNNNNNNNNNNNNNNNNNNNNNNNNNNNNNNNNNNNNNNNNNNNNNNNNNNNNNNNNNNNNNNNNNNNNNNNNNNNNNNNNNNNNNNNNNNNNNNNNNNNNNNNNNNNNNNNNNNNNNNNNNNNNNNNNNNNNNNNNNNNNNNNNNNNNNNNNNNNNNNNNNNNNNNNNNNNNNNNNNNNNNNNNNNNNNNNNNNNNNNNNNNNNNNNNNNNNNNNNNNNNNNNNNNNNNNNNNNNNNNNNNNNNNNNNNNNNNNNNNNNNNNNNNNNNNNNNNNNNNNNNNNNNNNNNNNNNNNNNNNNNNNNNNNNNNNNNNNNNNNNNNNNNNNNNNNNNNNNNNNNNNNNNNNNNNNNNNNNNNNNNNNNNNNNNNNNNNNNNNNNNNNNNNNNNNNNNNNNNNNNNNNNNNNNNNNNNNNNNNNNNNNNNNNNNNNNNNNNNNNNNNNNNNNNNNNCUGCUGUUAUCUUAUCGUUUCAUACAUCUAUGAAUGGUGUAUGGGGAACAAUUUUCGUGUUCGAUCCAGAUAGCUUGAUCAUGCAUGCAUGUGCAUCAGCGUUACACGAUGACUGUCCUCGCCAUGCUGCUACAGCCGUGUCUUCAUUGUUAGUGGUAAACUCACCUGCACCCCCAGGGCGGUCGGUGAUUGCUGGUGUAAGGAAUCACUUAUUUAAUCAGCACGUUGUUCCAGGCUGUGCUAUCUGCUUCUGCUUACAUCCUUUGUGGCGCUCCUAUACAAUGUAAGAGGGGGUAAGAAAGAGAUCAAAAUAUAUUACCAAAGUCUAUAUAUCUACCAUGCUUUGAUGAGGCAAAAUAUUUCCAUUUUACAGGAGAUGCCUUUUGGUGUUGAUGUGUUAACAUUAAGACAUGCCAUCUCAGAAAUCUAUAAUGCUCAAUCCAAUAUUUAUCUCCUAGUAUUAAAUANNNNNNNNNNUAAGAAUGUUUAAUAGAGAAACUCUGUUCUGGACUAAUUUCCUGAACAGAAUUCCUGCUCCAUCCUGAAGAUCUCCGAUGCUGCACUCUAACUCCUGCAAUUGUCCCUCCUCGCAAACAACGGCCUUCUUCUUGUAAAAUGCCUUGCAGACAAGAGACUGCUUUGGCAUUUCAAUUUGCUUCGACAAGAGAUGUAGUGUGGACUCCAACAGAGAGAUGCAGAUCUCUCUUGCGUUGGUCAAUAGCAUGACCAUCUUGUCGGAUGCAGCCUUCUUGGAAGUCUUCUUGAAAUGUUUCCUGGCCUUCUUCGCCAAGCGAGUAAAAGAUUGGAUCUUGGCUUGAACAGCUGCAUCAUCUCCUUUUCUUAGAGUCACUUGCAGCUCUUGGAUGAUGACCACCAUCUCGGCAAAGGUCUCCUGCACGGUGCUGCAGAGAUCUAAGAGCUCAACGGAGCAUCCCAUCUCUCCAUCCAACAUCUUCCUCUGCUGGGAGGAGCAAGCUUGGUGGCUUGGUAGGCAAAUAAUCUCUUCAAGGCCAUCGUAGAUGUUUGCAAGACUCCUGAGACCAUCGCACAUAGUGCUGAUGGAAUUGGAGGAAGAGAUGCUUGCUUCUAGGCUGUGGAGCUCUUGCUCGACUUGGGUCUCACUAACGUGAGGCCUAGAAGGCAAACUUGUCGAUCUUUGGUGGAAAGCCAUAUCUGAGCUUGAAGCUUUUCUCUGUAUUGUGGUUGAAGAGAGGAGGAGCAGAAAAGAAUACUUCUUGGUUUGAUGUGUCUACUGCUCUGCUCAGGCCUAUUUAUACAUAAAUGUACAAGCAGUAGCAUAUGAUUGUUAGACAUGAAGAAUCAUGCCAUUACAUCUCCCAGAUGCUGCCUGCUAUACCUUGAGAUCUGUGAGGAGCAUAGAAAUCUCAACACUAAAGUCGUCUCAUGUUUAGUACAUUGUUUUGUGCUACUGUCCAAACAAUUGGCAGCAAGAACCAGCAGCGUGGUUUCGUCUGAUGGUGGAUCCUUCUUGCAUGCUCAGGCCAUUAUUUUAUGGGUUGCUAACCUAGCAUUUAGCUGUGACAUACCUUGGUGGGCACAUUUGGAAAUCACAGGUCAAAGCCUCGAGGUCGGAGGUGGCAUGUUUAGGCCAUGGGAGCAAGAUCCACUGCACGAGAUCCAUGUUAGGGGUUCAGCAUAUUAUCAUCAGGCUGUCAUGUCUGAAUUAUUAGCAACAAACUCAUCUGCACGAGCGUGUAGUUUGGUUUCAGAUCAAGAUCAUGAGAUCGAUGAGUGUAGUGAAACGACGAGAGACAAGGAGCAGCUGGCUUAGCUUUGGAGGUUCCAGGGACAUGUUUAUCUGGUGGCAUCUGCUUGAUAUGCAAAUUUCAGUUGCUUCUGCAACUGGUAUUCUAUUAAUUAUAGGGAGCGAUACCCCCAGUAUAUUAUUACAAGGAGCAUGUGUUUGAGGCACAUUUCAUGUGAAUUACAUAACGACCUCAUAGUUCUCAAACAGAAAAAAAAACAUAACAACCUCAUGCCUUCGAGUUAGCGGGCUAGCGUGUCUGAACUAUGUAUGUAAACCAAUGAACUGAACAGCAUCAGAGUUGAGUAAUUUUUCCAUUUUAUACAUAGAUCCUGUAAACACCGGAUGCCAAUCACAGGGUAUUGGAUCUAAGUAUGUACCUAACUAGCUAUAUGCUAUGAGUAUUCAGCAGAAAAACUCUGUUCUAGAUCAAUUUCUUGAACAGAACGUCAACUCCGCUCCCCGGAUCAACAAUGUCUGACUCAAGUGCCCGCAAUUGCUACUCUUCAGCUACGGAAUGCGUUGAGAAAAGUGAACACCCGCCAAUGUUUCGGACGACAAGUUGCUUUGACAAGAGCCACUGUGUAGAUUUGAAGCAACAAGACUGUAAUUUUCUUUGCUGUUACAAGUAGCCUGAUCACCCUUCGGUCCUCAGUAACAGGUGUAACCGUCUUCCCGAUCUACCUGAACUGUUUAUGUGCUUUCUUUGCUAAUUGGGUGUACCGUGUAUGACUGAAUAUUGACCUGAAAGCUUCAGUGUCUCCUCUUUUCAGAACCAAGUGCAGCUCUUGGAUGGCGUCUACCUCAGCACGCACAUUUUGCUACCCUCUUAUAUAGUGCAGAAGUAGAAGAACUUACACACCUUUGCUACCUACAGACAACUGGAAUCCUGUCAGUCUAAGUCCUGAGAGUUUGUCACCCAUCUUCAAGGCAAGCUUAUGCUGCUCU